rnacentral:lncRNA from 1 species
GGGGCCAGAUCCGUUGGAAAGAUCUUGUUUUGCUUGAUUUGGACUCGGGAUGCGGCCUGGGUGAUUAAAACAAAUUCGGGUCUCCUGACAGCUCGGACCCGAAUCGGAUUCAAUUUUAGUUCAUAAUAUCUUUCUCUAGCAAGCUCCGAAUCAUGUGGCGUUUGAUUUGUUUGAAAGUAGACUUGAUAGGCUUCACUUUGAAUCUCCCUUUGCAGGCUAUCACACUUCAUCUUCACUUUGGACUUGUAAAGUUCAAUAAGAUGCCUACAUAAUAAGAUUACACAAGAUAGUAGCUCCGCCUCUUUGCAAGUAACAUAUUGGAAACAUUUUGUAAUUGAAUUCACCUGGUUAUAAUUGUUAUUAGAUACACCAACAAUUAGUGUUCUAAUUAUCGUAUCCAUGGUCACCAUGGAUACGACCAUUAAUAUGAUAUGGACCAUGCCUAGCGAGUCCGAUUUGGCCGAAUUGUCUGUCCUAAUGAGGGACCAUGCCUAGCGAGUCCCAACAAGUGGUCUAGUCCUUUUUCGCUUUGAUGAGUAGCUUUCGUUUGGGGUGCUCAUCUAGUAACGCCAAACGGACCCAUUUCGGAUCAAAGUUUAGCACCAAGUCCGAUUUGGCCGAAUUGUCCAUCCUAGUGAGGAACCAUGCCUAGCGAGUUCCUACAAGUGGUCUAUUCUUGUUUUGCUUCCAUGAAUAACUUUGUUUGGUGUGCUCAUCCUAGUACCUCAAAUGGACAUGUUCCGGAUCAAAGUGUAGUAUCGACUUUGAUUUGGCUGGAUUGUCCGUUCUAGUGAGAGGCCAUGGCUAGUGAGUCCCUACAAGUGGUCUAGUAUUGUUUCGGUAAGACGAGUAGCUUUUGUUUGGUGUGCUCAUCUUAGAACGCCAAACGGACCCAUUCCGGAUCAAAGUUUAGCACCGACUGCGAUUUGGCUGCAUUGUCCGUCCUUGUGAGGGAACAUGCCUAGCGAGUCCCUACAAGUGGUCUAGUCUUGUUUCGCUUCGAUGAGUAGCUUUGUUUGGUGGGCUCAUCCUUGUACCUCAAAUGGACACGUUCUGGAUCAAAGUUUAGCACCGACUCCGAUUUGGCCGUAUUAUCCGCCCCAGUGAGGGACCAUGCCUAGCGAGUCCCUACAAGUGGUCUAGUCUUGUUUCGCUUCGAUGAGUAGCUUUGUUUGGUGGGCUCAUCCUAGUACCUCAAAUGAACACGUUCUGGAUCAAAGUUUAGCACCGAAUCCGAUUUGGCCGCAUUGUCCGCCCCAGUGAGGAACCAUGCCUAGCGAGUCUCUACAAGUGGUCUAGUCAUGUAUUGCUUCGAUGAGUAGCUUUGUUUGGUGGGCUCAUCCUAAUACCUCAAAUAGACAAGUUCUGGAUAAAAGUUUAGCACAGACUCCGAUUUGGCCGAACUGUCCGUCCUACUGAGGGACCAAGCCUAGCGAGUCCGUACAAGUGGUCUAGUCUUGUUUCGCUUCGAUGAGGAGGUUUGUUUGGUGUGCUCAUCCUAGUACCUCAAAUGGACACUUCCGGAACAAAGUUUAGCACCGACUCCGAUUUGGCCGCAUUGUCCGUCCUAGUGAGGGACCAUCCCUAGUGAGUUCCUAGUAGUGGUCUAGUCUUGUUUUCGCUUCGAUGAGUAGCUUUAUAUGGUGUGGUCAUCCUAGUACAUCAAACGGGCAAGUUCCCGAUAAAAGUUUAGCACCGACACCGAUUUUGCCGCAUUGUCCGUCCUAGUGAGGGACCAUGCCUAGCGAGUCCGUACAAGUGGUCCUAUCUUGUUUCGUUUCGAUGAGUAGCUUUGUUUGGUGCGCUCGUCCUACUACCUCAAAUGGACACGUUCUGGAUCAAAGUUUAGCACGGACUCCGAUUUGGCCGAACUGUCCGUCCUACUGAGGGACCAUGACUAGCGAGUCCGUACUAGUGGUCUAGUUUUUUUCGCUUAGAUGAGUAGUUUUGUUUGGUGUUCUCAUCCUAAUACCUCAAAUGGACACGUUCCGGAUCAAAGUUUAGCACCAACUCCAAUUUGGCCGCAUUGUCCGUCCCAGUGAGGAACCAUGCCUAGCGAGUCCCUACAAGUGGUCUAGACUUGUUUUGCUUUGAUGAGUAGGUUUGUUUGGUGUACUCAUCUUAUAACGCCUAACGGACCCGUUCAGGAUCAAAGUUUAGCACCGACUCCGAUUUGGCGGAAUUUUCCGUCCUAGUGAGGGAACAUGCCUAGCGAGUCCCUACAAGUGGUGUAGUCUUGUUUCGCUUCGAUGAGUAGCUUUGUUUGGUGGGGUCAUCCCCGUACCUCCAAUGGACACGUUCUGCAUCAAAGUUUAGCACCGACUCUGAUUUGGCUGAAUUUUCCGUAAGUGAGGGAACAUGCCUAGCGAGUCCCUAUAAGUGGUCUAGUCUUUUUUUGCUUCGACGAGUAGCUUUGUUUGGUGGGCUCAUCCUAGUACCUAAAAUGGACACGUUCGGGAUCAAAGUUUAGCACAGACUCCGAUUUGGCUGAACUGUCCGUCCUAUUGAGGGACCAAGCCUAGCGAGUCCCUACAAGUGGUCUAGUCUUGUUUCGCUUCCAUGAGUAGCGUUGUUUGGUGUGCUCAUCCUAGUACCUCAAAUGGACAUGUUCCGGAUCAAAGUUUAGCACCGACACCGAUUUGGCCGACCUGUCCGUCCUAGUGAGGGACCAUGCCUAGCGAGUUUCUACAAGUGGUCUAGUCUUUUUUCGCUUCGAUGAGUAGCUUUGUUUGGUGUGCUCAUCCUAAUACCUUAAAUGGACACGUUCCGGAUCAAAGUUUCGACUCGUGCUGACCGUGGCGGACAAAACAAGCGGACGGAUCUGUUUUUCUGUUUCCUAAAGAGUUGUAGUUUGUUAGGAAAGUUAGAGAUAGAGUUGGAUUUCGACCUCCUUACUCAAGGUGGACGAAAAUAUCUCUCCCUCCUCCUUUAUAUACCCCAUGAGCCCCCCUAAGGAGCCUUGGGUUUUGAUUAGAUAAAGUUUAGCCAUCUUUGCUACUUUCGUGUAAUCGCGUGUGUCGGUUAGACCACCUGUUUUACCGUCGUCAAGACUCCAACUUAUCGUCUCGUUGAGACAUUGGUUUGAUAUAGUAUACUCGCAAUUUUAGAUUGCAUCCGCUAUUUAUCUUAUUCUUGCUUGUUCUUCCAUUGCUUGCAGGAACAAAGACCUUCGUGGUCAGGUUGAUAGUGCCCCCGCGUGAUCAAUAACUCUCUGGAGUUGGUGUAUCGAUUGCUAAGGCGCUGCCUCCUAGGCCGUAGUCGGAUCGUCAACGUCACCUCCUACCCAAAUCGAGAGUUACCAAUCUCAUCGAAAAUCGGGCCACCCCGCACCCACAUCAGGAGGGGGCCCAGCGGGCAGAGCAACAGCGCCACGUGACCGCGUGACGGGCGUCGAGUGCGCAGUCUCGGCAGGACGAGGAGUGAAGCGCACGGCGCAUUUAAUGAGCCGACAGGAGGGAAGUUACCCGUCUAGUCGGGUAAACAGUGACUGUCCAGGGCUAGUUCGUAGGCCUUAGGCCCUUAGCUGAGGAGUUGGCACUCAUGCAUGCCACCAGCGCACCGAGGGGGAGUUGCCAUGUCUCCCUGCUCGCCACUUGUAAUGCAUGCACCGUGUCACCUGUGGUAUCCCCUUGGUUAUAAAAGGAGGAUUCCCGCCAACGGUCAAAGGGUUUCACAUUUUUCUACGGUUCGACGAUCACACGGUUGGACGGACUCAUAGUUCGCCACUAGCAGUAUCCUGAAGUAGCCAAGAGCACUUAGGCAAAAAAAGGCACUCGGGGACUCUCCCCCCGGCAACGUUUAAACCUUUGAUUUACAGUCAAUACCAGUUCAGACAAGCAGGACGUAGGGUUUUACACCUCCUGGUGGCCCGAACCUGGGUAAAAAACGUGCGUGCAUGUGUCAUUAGCCUGCGUGUAUUCUGGGUACAUCACUUCGCAGGUUACGUGCGCCAUCGGCCUCGCCGGCGAUCGCCGGAGCGAUCCCUGACGCCCCUGCUGAACCUAAAAAGGGGGCGUGGCCGCACGCCCCCGGUGUCGGAGCCCCGUGCGACGACAUCUGGCGCGCCAGGUAGGGGGCGCGAGAGAAGAGCUCGCCGGUGACCGCCGGCAGCAGUGUUUGCAUCAACGUCGGCCUCGUCUUCUUCGCCGACGGGACCGGCUACCAUGCCCCGCAAGCGGGCUGGUGACCCUCGGAUAGCCACGCGUGAGGCCCCAACGGCACACACGCGGUCGUCAGUGCCACCCGCGUCGGGGGCUCAGGAGGACCCAGAGCCCUUGCGAGUGCAGCAGUCGUAGCUGCCUCCUCCGCCCCCUCGGCCGUUGGCAGAUAACCGGCUGAGGGAACCGGCGGCUCCUAGCGCCGGGGCCAGCCGGGCGAGCGGGCAUGGUGCCGCCCGCGCUGGCCAGCGAGUCGAGUCGCGGGCUGAUGACACGCAGCGACAGCGGCACCAUGAGCAUACCACGUCAGGAGCGACGCCCGAGGGCUCACACCCCGCGCACUUGGAGGCGUCCGGGGCCAUAGUGGACCGCAGCCGCUCGGGAAAUCGGCUGCCCCCCGCACGAACCCCGGCGAAAGCCAUCAUCGCCGCGCGGGUCAUGGUGCGGUAUGAACCGCAGCAAGGCAUGCCGACGCACGAGACGUGGGGCGAGGAGUUGGACGCGCUCCUCGCUCUGGCCGCCCAGCAGCCGCAAGGCGAGGGUGUCCCGAUAGGCUCCAGCCACGGGCAGAACCCAGAGCGCGGAGACGCGCCCCCCGCCUCACGACAGGGGGAGAACCCUCCCCCGCAGGGAGGCCAGGGAAACGGGGACCCGGAGGGGUCCUCGGACUCGUCACCCACUGUCACGCGGGGCGACGCGCGCGGCAUUCUAAAUGCCCGGCAGCAAGAGGAUCUGCGCCAGCGCCUGGAGCGCCGCCGUCGGCGCAAGGUAGAGCGCUCGCGCCCGGAGGAGCAGGAGGAUGCUCCUAUGGGCCCCGAGGACGGUUGCGCCGCGUUCACGCGCGAGCUGCGCCGGGUGACGUGGCCCCGCAAGUUCCGAGCGCCAGCGCUCGGCGCAUACGACAGGACCGUGAAUCCCAAGGAUUUCCUCUUGACCAACACGUUGGGGAUGCAUGCCAUCGGCGCUGACGACAAGGUCAGGGCCAACUGGUUCCCAAUGGUUCUGAAAGGAUCAGCGAGAACCUGGCUGCUCCACCUGCCCGCCGGGUCCAUCGCCACUUGGCGGACCUGCGCGAACAGUUUGUGAGCGCGUUCCAGGGCGGCUACAAGCGCCCAGGAACCAUGGCGGAACUGCACACCAUCGUGCAGAAGCUGAGAGAGACGUUGUGGAGCUUGAUCAACCGCUUCUCCAUCCUCUCCUACUCUAUCCCGGGGGCGGAGGCAGCCGCCAUCGUCAACGCCUUCGCCAUCAACGUCCGCGACCCCAAAAUGCGCGAGAAGCUGAGCACGCAUCGGAUCUGGACGACGCAGGAUCUAUACACCCUGGCGCACAAGUGUGCCAUGGCUGAGGAAGGGCGCUCAGAGCCCCGGCGAGGGUUCACAAAAGAAGGGUUCCCGCAAGCACAGCGGAAAGUAGGUUCUCGCUGCAGACUCGGGGGCUCCUGUCGCGAGGCCUGCAAAGAAGGCCUCACUGGGUGGUGGGUCUGGCGGCAAGCAGGGUGAUGCGCCCCGCUGCCCCAUCCACAACAACUCCACCCACGACGCGCAGGACUGUCGCAUCCUACAGGGGAUCAGGCAACGCCAUGAGGAGCGCCGCGCUGCUGGCGCUUGCUUCAACUGCGGCGACAUCGGGCAUCACUCCUGAGAUUGCCCGAACGAUCCCAGAGCAGGGCCGAGGCAUGCCGGUGGCGCUGCCGACAGAGACGAACCCCAGGGGGGACGCAACAGGGCUCGCGCUGAGGAGCAGCACGAGUCCGACUGCACUGGUGGCGACGAGCUGGGCUUCCAGGAGCCUCGCGGCGUCGCCUGUAUCCAUAGGGGAGCCUAUGCUCUCCCAUCCCAUGCCACGGUGAAGCGCCUCACCCGCGACAUGUGCGUGCUGUUGCCGGACACGGAGCCGCAACAGACGCUGAGGUGGUCACAUGUGCCGAGCACCUUCAGCGCGGAUGAUCACCCAGCGCGGUAGCUGGGUUCAGGGGUAAUACCCUUCGUUGUUUCACUGAUCAUCAGCAAUAUGACGGUGACCAAGGUACUGGUGGACAACGGAGCAGGGCUUAACCUCCUGUCCGCCAGGCUGGUGGAGAAACUCCAGCUGCCAGUGGAGCAGCUGAAGCCCACCGACCCGUUCCGGGGGGUAAACCCCGGGAUCGUGCGCCCACUAGGGCGCAUCACGCUGCCGGUAACCUUCGGGUCCCGAGAAGCGUUCAGUACCGAGCACAUAGUGUUCGACGUGGCACACACCCCGUUGCCUUACAACGGGAUCCUUGGUCGGCCAGCGCUGAUCAAGUUCAUGGCGGCUACGCAUUGCGCCUAUGGCGUGAUGAAGAUGCCGUCCGUAUAUGGAGUUCUCUCCAUCAGGUGCGACCUCAAGGACGCGGCCUGGUGCGUUGGCGAGGUCGUUAGGGCCGCCGCCGCGGCUGACACCGGCGACGAAGACGUUGCCAGAGACGACAGCUCGCCGGGCGAUGCCCCGGCAAUGAAGAAGGCCAGCGCUACCCCGCAAGAGCUUGCCGGGGGAAGCGCAGGCUCGAGCUCGUGCCCCGGCAAGGGACAGAAGCUCCGGGAGGAGGCCGCCAAGGUGAAGAAGCUGCUCCUCCAAGCCGGCAACAUGGAACGCACCGUCACCGUCGGUGCGAACCUUCCUCCGGGAUAACGCCAACGUGUUCGCUUGGGAACCGUCGGAUCUUCCCGGAGUCCCCAGGGAGGUGAUUGAGCAUUGGCUCGCAGUGCACCCGGACGCGCGCCCCGUCAAGGAGAAGAUUCGGCGGCAAGCAGAUGAGCGUAAAGAUUUCAUCAAGCAGGAGGUGGUCAGCUCAGUGCUGGUUGCCGAGAGGGACGAAGAUGUUCCAGGGACUGAGGCUGUGGGGCAGGGGGCGGAGCGGCCCCCAGCAGCCGCCUCAGACCCAGGGACCACCCCCGAGCCGGCAGCUCCUGCACCGCGUAAGCGAAUAGUGCAGCACUCGGUGUACUUCGUCAGCACGGUGAUGCGCGACGCGCGCACGAGGUACCCGCAAGUGCAAAAGCUCCUCUUGGGGAUUCUUCUUGCGUCCCGCAAGCUGCGCCAUUACUUCUAGGCGCACCGCAUCACGGUGGUGUCGGGGUUUUGUGUCGAGCGAGCCCUCACCAACCGCGAAGCCACCGGGAGGGUGGCCGAAUGGAGGAUGGAGUUGUCGGAGUUUGACCUCCACUUCACCAACUCCAAGAGCAUCAAGAGUACGGCCUUGGUGGACUUCGUCGCUGAGUGGACGUCGACGAGCGUGAGAGAGGAUGAGCCGGAGACCAGCCUACCCGGCAAGCUGGACGAGGACCAUCGGGUCCUCUACUUCGACGGCGCGUUCAGCCUCCAAGGAGCUGGCGCCGGGGUCGUCAUCGAGUCACCGACAGGGGAUCAGCUGAGGUUUGUUGUCCAGCUCGAUUUCCCGAACUCCACCAACAACACGGCGGAGUACCAGGGUUUGCUCGCCGGGUUACGGGCAGCGAUCGCCCUCGACAUCAAGCGCCUGGUUGUUCGUGGGGGCUCUCAGCUCGUGAUCAACCAGGUGAACAAGGACUACGACUGCCCACAGAUGGCGCCGUACAUGGAGGAAGUCCGCAGGCUGGAACGUAAGUUCAAAGGUUUGCGAUUCGAGCACGUCAAGCGAAAGGAUAACUUCGCUGCUGACGAGAUAGCCAAGAUGGCAGCGGAGCGCCGGAAGCCUCCGACGGGAGUGUUCUGCCAGAAGCAGGCGGUUCCUUCAGUCGCCCCCGAGCCUACUGCCGGGGACGCCCCUCCAGCAACCGAAGGAACGCCUGCAACAGCAGGGGUCCAUGCCGCUGACAUAGCGGCAUGCGUUGGCAAGGAGACCCCUCCCUGGGCGGUGGAAAUCGCCUGCUACUUGAAGGAGGAGGCUCUCCCGGAAGAUGACGUUGCCGCAGAGCGAGUAGCGCGGCAAGCAAAAAUGUACACUGUGGUGGAUGGAAACCUCUAUCGCAGACGUGCAAACGGGGCAAGCUCAUAUGCGUGCCGCAAGACGAAGGGCGUGAGCUGCUGGAGGAGAUACACCGAGGCACAUGCUCACACCAUGUGGUCUCUCGGGGUUUAGCUGGCAAGGCGUUUCGGCACGGUUUCUACUGGCCCUCGGCCCUGGCCGACGCGGAGCGGCUGGUGAAGACGUGCGAAGCAUGCCAGUUCCACUCGAAGAAGAGCAACCAGCCAGCGCAGGCCCUACACGUCAUCCCUUCCUCGUGGCCGUUCGCAGUCUGGGGGCUCGAUAUCGUCGGCAAGCUACCGAGGGCAGUUGGUGGUUACGAAUAUUUGUUCGUGGCUGUCGACAAGUUUUCCAAGUGGGUGGAAGUGGAACCAGUGCGGAAGGUGACCGCCCAGGUGGCCAUCAAGUUUUUCAAGAGCAUUGUGUGCCGGUUUGGUGUGCCUAACGGCAUCAUCACCGACAACGGCACGCAAUUCACGAGCGCAGUGUUCCAGGCCUACUGUGAGGGCAUGGGCACCAAGUUGCACUUCGCGUCCGUUGCUCAUCCGAGAAGUAACAGGCAGGCGGAGCGAGCCAACGCAGAAGUGCUGCGGGGACUCAAGACGAGAACCUUUGACAAGCUCAAAGGCCACGAGAAACACUGGGUUGAAGAACUCCAGCCCGUGUUGUGGUCAAUCAGGACCACACCUAGUCGGGCAACGAGCGAAACUCCUUUCGCCCUUGUCUACGGGGUAGAAGCGGUGCUGCCCCUCGAGCUCAAGCAGGGAUCUCCCCGAGUACGCGCGUACGGCAACACCAGCCAACACGAGCAAAGGGUCGACGAUCUAAACUUCAUCGAAGAGCUUCGAUGCCGGGUUGCUGUGCGAGCCACGCGCUAUCAGCAAGGACUAACUCGUUAUCACGACAAGCAAGUCCAUUCCCGGGGACUCGAGAACGGAGACCUUGUCCUGCGCCGGAUACAAGGAACGAAGGCCGGGAACAAGUUGACUCCGAAAUGGGAGGGGCCCUUCCGGGUAGUGCAGGUGACCAGACCGGGGGCUGUCCGGCUGGAAACCGAAGACGGCUUGCCGGUGCCAAAUAGCUGGAAUAUUGAGCACUUGCGCAAGUUCUACCCGUGAAGCGGCGGAGCCCAACCCUCGGGGGAUGCCGCCGAUGCAUACCUCUCGAACUAGUGUAGCCGGGAAGGCCCCGUGUGUAAACCACUAGUUAUUGUGAAUAAAGAUAAGUGUUUCUUUCCUGAACUUCAAAGUUGCCUUGCUUAUUUGUGUGUUCCUCCCUUCUUCUGUCUUCUGCUUUUGGUGCACGAAAGUGUCUUUCCAUACUUGGUUGUGAGCAGGGGGCUGUUGGAGCCUCGAAAGCAAAAACCCCGUUGCCGGAUCACUCCGCCACGGGGCAUGCAGUCAUUGGGUUAACCGCGACGUGCAUCAGGGGACAUGCAGUUGCUGGGUUCCCCGCAACGUGCAUCACGGGACGUGUAGUUGCUGGGCUCCCCGCAACAUGCACCUCGGCUGGGAAAUGGAGUGCUCACAUCCAAGUUUGGCAUCAACCCUUCCGUGCCCGGGGGCUGGGAGGCAGGCGAUUACUCGUGUUGCUUUAUGUAUUUUCGUGAAUUUCGAAAAAAAAUUGCAGCACCUCGGGCCUGGUAAGUGUCUAAUCUGCAGGAAAAGGUGGAAUCUUACGCACUGUAAUACCCGUGGGCUGCCCACGGGUCGCGGCAUGUAGCAGUGCCUUGUGGUGCGGGACGACUGCAACAUGAGGGACUCACCGCACUCCGAGGCUCUCGACCCAGGAGGGGGCCGCCACGUGUGCCACAGCCACUUGGCAUGCAGGGUGGAGAAGACUACACCACAUUUCAAGGGGAGGGAUGCCACGGGUGCUGCACUGAUUCGUUGCGCGCGGUGGCAAGCCCUUCCCCCGCGCCUAUAAAAAGCGCGCUCCAGCCAUGGAACGGCUCAGAGCAGAGCCAAGAGAGGGGUUGUUAAGGCGGGCGGUGCCGCGGAGGCGUGAUGGUGGUGCAUAACAUCCGCGCCUGGCGCCGACGGGUGCACUGCCAUCGCGCCCUUGCCACAUCGCCCCAUCAAGCCCACUCCGAGGGGCGUCGCAGAGGCACGGUGGCGGUGCAUGCAGUCAGCGCUCCGUGCCGACAGGUGCACGGCCACCGUGCCCUUGCUGCGCCUCCUCUAGCGAGCGGCUCCUGGGCGAGGGCUGCCGUGGAGGCACUGUGGUGGUGCAUUCCAUCGGCGCCCGGCGCCGACGGGUGCACGAUCGCAGUGCCCCUGCCGCAUCCCUCCAGAGGACACCUCCGCAAGGAGCAGGGGAUGCCGCGGAGACACCAUGGUGGUGCAUGCCAUUGGCACCCCGCGCCGACGGGUGCACCACCAUAGUGUCCCUACCCCGUUUCCCUAAGAGAGGGCCACUAUAGGCGGGGGUCAUCGCGAGGACACUGUGAUGGCGCCGGGGCCGGCGUUUGCCGUCCGUUCCGGCCCAUCACCGCGUCCUUGCCACGGCCCUCGAGCAGUUUUGCUCCCAGGCAGCGAGGGCUGCUGCGGGAACAUCGUGGCGUCCUUGUUGCCCGCUUUCGGCGGUGGUGGCGAGGAAGCCACGAUGUCCCUGUUGCGGCCCUCAGAAGGGUUUUUCCCAAGCAGCGAGGGCUGCUGUGGGGACGCCGCGACGUCCUCGUCGCCCGCGGACAGCGGCGCUGCCAAGGAAGUCACGGCGUCCCUGCCGCACCCCUCGGAAAAGGCUCCUUCGAGGACGAGGGUUGCCGCGGCGUCCCCGCUGCUUCCCUUUAUCAGGCACUUUGCAGGGACGGCGAGCCAGGAGUGCACCUCCGGCGAACACUCCGGGCGCAAGACUGAACGAAAAGCUAAGUGCUGACACCUAAAUGGCAAACCCAAUAAGAACUAAACGUAAUUGAACGCUGCUUCGCCAGGUGUGGCCCCGGAACCUGCGCGUGGCUGGAGUGUUAGAAAGACGCUUGCGGGGGGAGUGCGCUCCCCGUGUGGCUUCCUGGGUCCGUCCCGAAAGGGCAUGGCUUGGAGUAGUUACCCCGCAAGUGGAGUGGCUCCCCCGCUACCGCUUGACCCCAGGUCGGCACUGCGGGUCCGUCCCGGGUCUGGUCAAGGGUGAGGUGCGUGAGUCCCCCGCAACACAAGGCGAAACACGCAAAGGCUAAAGGAGCCGCCCCGCGAGGCAGCCCUGGGAACAAGGGACAAGAAUUAAGCAAAUUAAAGAGCUUGAUUAACUAAGUGUUGAACGGUUACAUAAGCUAAUGGAAAAACAAUUGUUCAAACGGCGCCAAGCGCCACACUUGCAGGAAAAAGCGAACGAAAGAAGAUACAUCGGGAAGCGGCAAGGACUGGGAGCCACGGCAACUAGUUGCCGGCGUCUUCUGCCGGGCGCUCCAGGGACGGCUCGGGGUCAGGCUUCCGCUGCAUCCGCUCGACCACCUCGUCGACGAACCCGCGCACCGCCUGGGUGUGCAUGGGCUCAUCCUCGCUGUCCGACCAGGCGUCUAGCAGGGACUCGAAGGAAAACUCCGGGUCCCGGAGGUGUAUCCUCGAGAGGAUUGUCCCGGCAACCUCCCGGGCGCAGUUCGCGACCUUGUUGGCGCCGAACUGGGCGAUCCAGACGUCGAGAGCCCCAAGCUUCCCCACCAGGUCGGAGAAGAAGGGGAUCAAGGUGGAGACGUCUGUGCCGUCCACCGCCGCGCCCUGCAGCUCGAACCGGGGUAGCAAGUCGCGCAGCGCCUAGGCGAUCUUUAGCAACUUCUCGGUCUAUAUAUGCCGCUGCCCGAUCAGUGUGCCAUGGUGGAGCCGGGCAUCAUGCGUGGCCUUCUUGGCCUUGCGGAGGUUGUCCCCCAACGCCGCGAGCUCCGCGGUCUUUACCACGAUGUCGUCGCCAGCCUUGGCAAGCUCUUCCCGGACUGCGGCCAGCUCGGUUUCGAGCCUGCCCAUCCUGUCCUUGGCGGAGCCAAGCUGGAUCUCGUGCCGAGCUGCUGCUCCUACCGCGUCCUCGGUGGCCUUGAUCUGCACCGCCAGCUUGAUGUUAAGACCCUGAAUCUCGCCGCGAUAAUUGGCGAUCAGGUCACUCUUCUCGUCCAGCCGGGCCUGGGCUGCUGCGAGCACCCCGGCGUGCUCCUUCUUGGUCACCUCGAGGGUUGCCGCUAGCGAGUCCAGCUCCCCCUGAAGCUCCGAGCGCUGGGCCUCCAGCUGCCAGUGGAGUUCAGCCUCUGGGACGACCGGUUCCUCGGCGUCCUCCAGGGCUUGCCGGGCAAGACGCGCCUCCUCCCUGGCGAGGCGCGUCUCCUCUCGCAGCCGGGAGAGCUCUUGACGUUCCCUCUCCACGGCUUCCCGCACCUCGCCAAGUUGGCUCUUGGCAACGGCGUGGUGCUCCCUCACCUCGUUGAAAGAGGUGACGAAGCCUUGUUGUUCGUCCCUGAUGGCUUCCAGGAACUGGUGCCCCCGCUCAAAGAUGCUAGGAUCCCAGGUGAUGGGAUUCCAAGCCAGCCCGGCGAGGGUGCCGAGGUCGGAGUUAGGGGGGCAGCCGAGGACGACGAAGCCCCCGCUGCCAUUGUAGGGCUGUGCGGGGGGUCACCCGCUUGCUCCUGGGGAUCCUGUCGUCCUUCCCCGGCAGCUCCCCCUUCACCCGCGCCAGGGGACCCUGCGGCUGGAAAAGCCUUCCUGCCCCCGGCAGGAGCCGUUCCCUGCAGGGCUGUAGGCGAAUCCACGCCAACCGCAUCCGCAGCUGCUGGCGCGUCGCCAAGCACAGUCCCAGUGGUGACGGUGGCCACCAUUGCCGCUGUCGCUGGCACGGCAGGGCUUGGUGCGGGAGCCGGUGCCGGCUCCGCCGCCCCCGUGAUCUCAACGUUAGGGUCAAGAUCAACCACGGUAGUGCUCGCUCCGGGUGCGGGCGUGCUCGUGCCUACAGCAAUAAGGAGUGUGAGGAUCGACAAGGAAAAGAGCUAUCGGAAGCGGACAAGGGUGGCCGGGGCGGUUACCCUGCAAGGCAGAUGGACUUACGAGGGGGGCUUCCCCCGCCUCACCUGUGCCGGUGGGAGCCUCCGAGAGGCUUGCCGCGGGCGAGCUGCCGCUUGCUGAAAAAGCAAGUACGUUUGUAUGGUUAACUAACAACUGAAAAAUGCAGCAAAGGAGGAGCAAAGGAGCCGUACCAGUUGCCGGCCCCACCCCCGUUGGGGCUGGGUCGUCGGCGGGCGCGAUAACGGUGCCACUAGCCCCUGUGUCAGUCGGGUCAGCGGCGCCGCCGGCGUCCGCGCGAGCUCUCUUGUCCGGCAUGGCGGGCGGGGAGUCGCUCCUCCCCCUUUUGCUGGCACCCGCCGGCGAGUUGGACCUCGGGGGGUUGCGCCAGAGCGCGAAGCCCCGAAAGACCCCCCGAGCGGGCGGCACCUACUGGGUCACCGCAGCCCGGGGCGUCGCGGGAGUCGGGGGCGAAGCCGCCGCGGAGUCAGGGGCUGACGAUGGGGAGGCUGCCAACGCAUCCCCGGCAGUAGUCGCUGCCGAGGCCGUUGCUGGGUCGCUAAUGGUCCCCGCCAAGGCAUUGGCAGGUGCCAUCGGAGCAGCUGCCGCCGCGGUGCUGGCGGACCGCGGCGGCAGCUGCUAGGGCGGAUGUUACCGUUGUGGCUCCGGCGACCCCCACGGACGUGUGCGCUGCCGAGGUACCGGCAGGCGCCCCUGAGUGGACGCCGCCGCAGUGCUGGUGGCCGCCGCUGGGGCGGAUGUUGCCGCCGAGGCUCCGGCGACCCCUGCGGACGCGGUCGCCACCGAAGUACCGACAGGCGCCCCUAAAGCGGCGGCCGCCGCGGGGCUGGCGGCCGCUGUCGGGGCAGAUGCCGCCGCUGAGGAGAUAGCCGCGGCCGCGGCGUACGCCCUCGAUCUCCGAACGAUCAGGGGCGCAGUGUCGCUGUCCUCGUCGUCGUCGUCCACGGGGACGACUUCCGGGGACGCUGCAGCCUGGCCCGCCUCGUCAUCCAGGGACUGGAGGGAGGUCCAGCUGAUCUCUGAUUCGCCCCCGCUCUCCUCGAGCACCUGCUUCCCGUGAGGUGUUGGCAGGGGAGCGCGGGGGGUCCGGGUGGGGGUAUCGUCCAUCAACCCCCACUCAUUGCAGGGCGGGAAGGCGGCGACGAUGUCGUUGAGCGCCGCAACGCCGGCAUGGAGGGAAAAGACACCUGGUGGGAACCUCGUUGAUUGGAAGGUUUCGCCGGAGAUUCCCCUCACCCACGUCUUGAGGGUUUCCAAAUCCACGCCGUCCUGAUGGAGGCGCGUCCUGUCCCCGGGACCCGUGUACAUCCACGCGGGCCAGGAGCGCAGUUGAAGCGGCGCAAUGCGCCGGUUGAUGAAGGCAGGCGCCACAUCCACAUCGGUGAGCCCUGCUAGCCGCAGCGCCUUAAUUUUCUCCACGAUGGGGAGGAGAUCGGCGUCGCGGAUGAACUCUUGGGGGUCUUCCACUCGGACCCAGCACCAAUCGCCCCGCCACUCCUCCUCAAUCUUCUUCCCCAACUGGGUGAUGAACUCGGACUUCAUCUGGUCACGGGCGCGGAAUACCACCCCCGACGACAUUGCUUUCGUGUUGUCGAGCCGGGGGUAGAAAUAGUGGCGGAAGAGCGCCACCGACGGCAUCACCCCCACGAAUGCUUUGUAGAGGAAUUGGAAGGUGGCGAGAAGGAACAGCGAUGUGGGGUGGAGCUGCGCCACCUGCAGCUGGUACGACUCCAUCAGCGCGUGGAGGAACAGCGAGAAUGGCGGCAACAGCCCGGUGAGCAGGAAGCGCCCAAACACCCGAAAGUCAUUGUCCUAGUGCUCGGCGCCCGUCGGGAAGAUCAGGGUCUCCCCGUGCUCGUUGAACUUGGAGGCGACGGCAUGCCGGACCUUGUCCAGCGCCUCGCCAUUGUAGCCAGGCCGGUAGAAGGCGAGCGUGGCCCGCAUCUCCCGCUUCCUCCGGUCUUUGUCGGCGGCUGCCUUGGUCGCCACCUCGCUCCUGCUGACCGCCGCUCUCUUCGAGACCUGCGCCUCUUUUCCCUUCCUGGUGGUGGGGGGGCGCCAUGGGGAGCAGGGGUGGAAGCUAGCAAGAACACUUGGGUGCGAGAUGCGAAGGAGGGUGAAGGCGAAGGCUGUGGGAAGCAGAGUGUUUUCCCCUUUUGGCAACAGUAAGAGCUUUAUAGCGCCCGGCCGUUUGGUAACGGCCGGUUCCAUACCCUACGGGUGCGCGGGGAUAACUCCUAAUAAAAAGGGGUAAUGCAGGGAGUGGCCUUAACUUUCCUGUUUAAGGGGGAGGUUAGGGCGGAAAUCACGCGCCCACUACUCCGUCUGUAACGGCGUGGUGUUAGGGGCAGCAAAGGGAUGCGGGCCCGAGGCGGAUCGGGGCCCACGCGUCGGUUGUGGGCGUAGCCCGGCAACCGACCUGGGGGAAAGCUCGUCCGGGGACAGGUGAUGCCGGCCCACGCCCGGGGGCUACUGUCGCACCAGUGGCACUCGGGGUACCACCAUUGCGCGACGCGUGGGCUCCAUCUCCAAGUUCCCGGGAGGGUCUCAUCCCGGGCGGCAGCUACGAGCAGCCCGGCAAGCUACCAGUCUGGAAGGGCUAGAGGGGCUUCGGGGAAUAUUCCCGCCUGGACACCUCCGGGAAGCCACUUGCCGGGAGGGGGUUACUGGGCGUGUCAGGCCUGGGUGCCUCCCGGGAGCCCCUUGCCGGGAGGAGGGGUUCCCGGGCGCAAGCUCCUUCCGCAAGGGAGGGGGCCCAGCGGGCAGAGCAACGCGCCACGUGGGCGCGUGACGGGCGUCGAGUGCGCAGUCUCGGCAGGACAAGGAGUGAAGCGCACGGCGCAUUUAAUGAGCCGACAGGAGGGAAGUUACCCGUCUAGUCGGGUAAACAGUGGCUGUCCAGGGCUAGUUCAUAGGCCUUAGGCCCUUAGCUGAGGAGUUGGCACUCAUGCAUGCCACCAGCGCACCGAGGGGAAGUUACUCUGUCUCCCUGCUCGCCACUUGUAAUGCAUGCACCGUGGCACCUAUGGUAUCCCCUUGGUUAUAAAAGGAGGACCCCUGCCAACGGUCAAAGGGUUCCACAUUUUUCUACGGUUCGACGAUCACACGGUUGGAAAGACUCACAGUUCGCCACUAGCAGUAUCCGGAAGUAGCCAAGAGCACUUAGGCAAAAAAAGAACACCCAGGGACUCUCCCCCCGGCAACGUGUAAACCUUUGAUUUACUGUCAAUACCAGUUCAGACAAGGAGGACGUAGGGUUUUACACCUCCUGGUGGCCCGAACCUGGGUAAAAAACGUGCGUGCAUGUGUCAUUAGCCUACGUGUAUUCUGGGUACAUCACUUCGCAGGUUACGUGCGCCAUCGGCCUCGCCAGCGAUCACCGGAGCGAUCCCCGACGCCCCUGCCGAACCUAAAAAGGGGGCGUGGCCGCACGCCCCCAGUGUCGGAGCCCCGUGCGACGACAGUUUAGCACCGACUCCGAUUUGGCCGGAUUGUUCGUCCUACCGAGGGACCAUGCCUAGCAAAUCUGUACAAGUGGUCUCGUCUUGUUUCGCUUCGAUGAGUAGUUUUGUUUGGUGUGCUCAUCCUAGUACAUCAAAUGGACAAGUUCCCGAUCAAAGUUUAGCACCGACACCGAUUUGGCCGAAUUGUCCGUCCUAAUGAGAGACCAUGCUUAGCGAGUCCGUACAAGUGGUCUAGUCUUGUUUCGCUUCGAUGAGUAGCUUUGUUUGGUGUGCUCAUCCUAGUAUCUCAAAUGGACACGUUCCGGAUCAAAGUUUAGCACCGACUCCGAUUUGGCCGAAUUGUCCGUCCUAGUGAGGGUCCAUGCCUAACGAGUCCCUACAAGUGGUCUAGUCUUGUUUCGCUUCGAUGAGUAGCUUUGUUUGGUGUGCCCAUCCUAGUACCUCAAACUGACACGUUCUGGAUCAAAGUUUAGCACCGAUUCCGAUUUGGCCGAACUGUCCGUCCUAGUGAGGGACCAUGCCUAGCGAGUCUCUACAAGUGGUCUAGUCUUGUUUCGCUUCGAUGAGUAGUAUUGUUUGGUGUGCUCAUCCUAGUACCUCAAAUGGACAAGUUCCCGAUCAAAGUUUAGGACCGACACCGAUUUGGCCGGAUUGUCCGUCCAAGUGAGGGACCAUGCCUGGCGAGUCCGUACAAUUGGUCUAGUCUUGUUUCGCUUCGAUGAGUAGCUUUGUUUGGUGUGCUCAUCCUAGUGAGGGACCAUGCCUAGCGAGUCCCUACAAGUGGUCUAAACUUGUUUCACUUGGAUGAUUAUCUUUGUUUGGUGUGCUGAUCCUAGUACCUCAAAAUGGACUUUCUCAGCAUAUCUCUGGCAACCGUUGCAUUUCCUGACCAUAUCUUCUGCCUCUUGUAGUGCACUCGGCCAGUAAAAUCCGUGCUGAAAUGCCUUUGCUACCAACGUUCUUGAGGACGCAUGAUGGCCGCACUCGCCUUGAUGAAUAUCUCGGAGGAUUUCUUGUCCUUCUUCUGGCUCGACGCAACGUUGCAACACGUUGGUGACACCUCUCUUGGAUAGUUCGCAGUUGAUAAUGGUGUACGCCUUCGCUCUUCUCUGAAUCUGCCUUGCCGACACUGCAUCUUCCGGCAGACUUCCAUCUUUGAUGUAUGACAUGAUUGGUUGUGCCCACACCGGCACAAGGUGAGUCAUGAAUACCGGCUCGUUUAUUUCCAUUGGUUCAAUUGCCAUUGCCUCGUCCAAGUUAGGGUGCUCAGUCCCCGGGUUACUGGAACCACUGUCGCUAUCAAUAUCCAUUGGUGUGAAUUUGGCCUCCGGGUUCACCGGAAUAAAUAUCGAUUCCGACUCUGGUGACGGCUUGAUCGAACGCUUGCGCAGAUGUUCCAGCGCUAUGCCGGCCGGAAUGGCCUGCCGCAUUGAUCCCAGCUUCGAUAGAGUGUUGGCUGCUUCAUUCUCCGCUCGGGGUAUGUGAUGGUACUCACAACCUUCAAAGUGACCGCUGAUUUUCUGCACAUGAAAACGAUAUAGCGCCAUAUUGGCAUCCAAUGCAUCCCAAUUGCCAGAGGCUUGCUGGAUCACCAGGUCAGAAUCACCCAACCGACUAACAAAGCGACUUAAUGAUGCUAGGCAUCCGGUUAAUUUUAGUACGUCCUUGAGACAUUUUGGCGGCUUCAUUCUUUCUAUGGCAGCAAUUUUCACAUGAUUUAUUUCUAUGCCUCGGCUUGACACCAGAAAUCCGAGUAACUUUCCAGCCGGCACACCGAAUGUGCACUUGGCCGGGUUUAGUUUCAUCCAGAAUCUUCUUAGAUUUGCAAAUGUUUCUCGGAUAUCAUCUAGGAGUGUGCUGCUCUCUUUGGUUUUUAUGACGACAUCGUCGACAUCCACCUGCACAUUUUUGCCUAGUUGUUCAUGCAAGCAUUUUUGCAUACAUCUCUGAUAGGUAGGCCCUGCAUUUCACAAACCAAAAGGCAUGGUGAGAUAGCAAUAAGCCCCAAACGGGGUGAUAAAUGAUGUCUUUAUUUGAUCAUUAGGGUUCAGUGGUAUCUGGUGAAAACCAGAAUACGCAUCUACAAAAGACAACAAUUCACACCCGGCAGUGGAGUCGAUGGCUUGAUAGAUCCGAGGUAGUGGAAAAGGAUCCUUAGGACAUGCCUUGUUCAGGCUGGUGUAAUCAAUACACAUGCGCCAAACUUUGGUCGUGGUGGUGUCAUCUUUCUUCUUCUCGACCAUGACCGGGUUGGCCAACCAGUCAGGAUGUAAGACUUCCAUGAUAAAGCCGGCAGCUAAAAGCCGAGAUAUCUCUUCCAAUAUGAUCUUCUUUCUGUCAUCGGCGAAGCGUCGAAGGGGUUGCUUCACCGGUCUUGCGUCUGGCCUGACAUGUAGUGAGUGGUCAGCCAACUCCCACCAGGUAGGUCCUGGUUUGACCAUGCAAAGAUGUCCCGGUUCUCACGAAGGAAGUCGGUGAGCUCGCCUUCCUAUUUCUUGGUCAGGCCGGCACCAAUGAUGACGGUGCCGUCCAGGAACUCGCUGUUAACCGGUAUCUUCUUCGUCUCCUUUGCCGCCUGGAAAGCCACACUGCCAUGAGGGUUGGUCAUAGCCAGCAGAGUAGUUUGUGCUGACUGAGCCAGUGCCAUGACUUCCUGCAGCUUCUUCUUCUCUUCGGCAAUGACCAAUGACUCGGCCAAAUCAGAACCCGUAGCUGCACACUCCAUUGAUUGAUUGUAGUUGCUGGAUAUGGUUAUGGUACCAUUUGGUCCUGGCAUCUUCAUCUUUUGGUAGACAAUGUGAGUUCUCGCCAUAAACUUGGCCAAUGCCGGCCUGCCCAGCAACGCGUGAUAUGGGCUGUUGAGAUCAACCACUUCAAACACCAAAUUCUCUGUCUGACAAUUUUCCCUUGUGCCGAUUAAGACAUCUACCCGGACUUUGCUCACUGGCGCACACGACACCCCCGACACGAUACCAUGGAAGGUAGUCCAGCUGGGCUCAAGCAUGUUAUCGGUAAUGCCCAGUUUGAGCAUUGUGUCACGGUAAAUGAUGUUAAUGCAUCUCCCAUUAUCGAUGAGGAGUCAGGUAAACUUGACGUUGAUGUCGGGCCCGAUGAGUGUUGGGUCAACCACUAGAGCGUAUCCGCCGGGAUUCGGCAUGACCCUAGGAUGGUCAGACCGGUUCCAACAGAGCUCCUGCUCCAACCAGUACAUAAACUUCGGCACUGCCGGCAUAACUGCAUUGACUUCCAUCUCAUGCCGACGCUGGCUUUGCUUGUCAGUCUGCUCCGUGACGAAAAUCAUGUAGCUCUGGUGAUGUUCUUUGUACUCAUUUCUUCCUCCAUACUCCGGGAUGCCUUGAUCUUCCACCUGAUUGACAGCGUUGUUCACCGGAAGGGGGCCUUGAAUCUGUGCAUUGGCGCCUAUGAGUGGCGUCGGGGGAGGUAGCCGACUUGCUCGGAUUCUCGGCCCGUUGCAUCCAACUACAUUGCCGGGUUGUAUGAUUCGUCGGCUUGCUCGGAUUGGUCAUGUGGAAACGACAAGGCUGAUCAAGCAUCAUCUCAAACGUGCACUUCUGCUUAUCUUGCCACGGCUUCUUCUGUUCUCCUUUCUUGGCCCACUGCUGAUUCCCAGUCUUCUGUCGCUGGCUAUGACCGUCAUCAGGUUGAUCUUGGAUCGCAACCACAUGAGCUGGCCCAUACCGGUAAUCCGUCCUGUCAUCUCUUCUCUUGUUUGUAUGAUCUUGAUGAUCAUUUCUCUGGAAUGCCCCGGCAGGGUUGUAUGUCUGUUGCUCUCUGUGCGGCUCUGCCGGCAUCAGUGACGGCUGGGUUGGGUCUCCCUAUGCAUACAUAUCUGCAACCUUGAUCAUCUCGGCCAAUGUAGCCGGCAUUUCUCUUUGCAGCUUUUGCCAUAACAUGCUGCCAUGUCGGCAUCCUUGGGCAAACCAUGCUAUAGCCUGUGAUUCCACAAUCCCCUCACAGGAAUUGCAGAGAUUGUUCCAUCUCGUCAGGUACUCCCGGUUGGUCUCAUUGUCUCUCUGCUUGCACAUGGACAAUUGCUGAGGUCGAUUAGGUCUCUUGUAUGUGCUGGUGAAGUUGAUAACAAAAGCUUCUUCGAAAUCUAUCCAACAGUUGAUGCUGCCCUCGGGCAGAUUGUUCAGCCAAAUCCUGGCUAGUCCUUCUAGCAUUUGGGGUACGUAACGUACUGCUAGUCUGCGAUUGCCUCCUGCAACAUGCACAGCAGUGACAUAAUCUUCCAGCCAGUCUUCCGGCUUGGUGCUGCCGUCAUAUGUUCUCGUGCCCUUGGGUAGCUGGAAACCCGGGGCAGGCAUCUCUCUCAUGAUCCGGUAAGCAAAGCAACGUGGUCCCGGAGGACCCUGCGGUUCCAGAAGUUCCGACUGGUAGAUUCUGUCGAGCCGGUGGCGAGCAUCAAGCGGCGACACUUGCCGGUUUCCCACUCGAGCUCCGAGUGGACCGACGUUGUCACGCUCUCGCCUAAGAUAACCAUCAUCUCCCAUGGCCGAGUAUCUGUCAUUGUAACAGUCUUGCUUUGAUCCUCACCUCGAUACAGGGGUUGUGCCCGGCACUCUGCUGACCCGCAGCAGUAUUGGGCGCCGGACCGCGAGGUUGGUGUCCAUGUCCCGCCGAAUGACGUUCUUGCGGGUCUCGGCGAUUCUUGCUGAGAUGUAGGCCACUUUGACCAUCAUCAACUCGCCUGGCAACUUGCUUCCCAGCGAAUGCCGGAUCAUAGUGAUCCAGCCGUUUGUCUCGGUCGGAAUUAACACUCUUAUCCCGUCUCCCACCGACAUUGGGGGAAGACGCUUGAUUGCCGGCUCGGCCACUCGCGCCUGCGGCCGAGUGAAUGAUCUGGGAUGCCUCCGGCUUGGCAUGCAACUUCAUCUAUGCCUCAUUUUGCUCGUUAGCAAUGUGAAGCAGCUCCUUCACCCGCUGCUGCUGCACUCGGAGCGCUUCUCCUGUUAGGUUAGGUAGCUCUUCUGCUGCAACCUCAGCAGCCCUGAGGUUUUUAACAAGAGUGCUAUAUUUCGGCUUCAGUGCCGACGCAUAGCUUCCCGACAUAGCAGGGGCAACUCUACCAUCCCUAGCUAUCUCGGCAUUCAAGUUCUUGCCCCGGUAACGCACCUCUCCUACUCAGCUAGGGUUGUGCAUGGCAGUAGAGUUAAGACCAUGAGCUUUGUUAUACUCACGGAGGGAAAUCUCGAGCUCUUGUCGAGCGCGAGACACGUCGACAGCUUCCUGCAGCAAGUUCUGGCGCUGCACUUCCAGCUCAGCUUGGAGCUAUGCUGAGUUGGCGUUUGGAGCUACAGGCGCAGCCAGCCUUUUGAUGGAGGCCUGAAGCGGAGUCGGCUUUGCAGCGGGGGGCGAGCUGUUCUGCCGGACUUGCUCGGGACACCGGUGUUUUCAGCUGCGCCUUUGCCGGCAUCGCCACCCUGAGCUGUCAUCAUGACCUCCACGCAGCUAACGGGGCAGUCGCUAUGCCGGCCGCGAGCCGCGCAGACGGUAGGGGGAUCCUCAGCUACCACCACAUGCUCGGGAUACCUGCAAGCAAAGUCAGUGGCGACGUAGACCUCGUGUGUGCCAAAGUUGAUGAACCGGCCGGCAUAGGGCAAUGGUGCGAUGUUAAAGCAACCUGUGUUGUUGUCGAUGAAGCCCAGAGAGCCGAAUCUUUGGACCAAACCGGAGACCACGCGCUCUCCGGUGACGACGAUGCUUCCCGUCCGGAUGAAAACUCCAGCCAGCGCCGCUGCUGGCCCCACGGUGGGCGCCAACUGUCAUGGUGGUGUCACGUCAGAUGCCAUAGGAUGGCUUAAGUUGGGACCGAUGGAGGAUCCGGAGGAGGGAUGGCGUAGUGAAACUACACACAAUGUAAAGAAGACACGGUGUUUACCCAGGUUCGGAGCCCUCUUGUAGAGGUAAAGCUCCUACUCCUGCUUAGCUUGUAUUACCCGAGAUACACGAGAGCUACAAUGGUGCUUCUUGAGCUGUAUUGAGAGGAACCCCCCUCACAGGAGGGGUGAAGCCUCUAUUUAUAGGCUAAGGAUGUUACCCUGACAGGUGGGGCAAGGGGAAACCCUAACAACUCCUGGGCCUGCGGGGCCUGCCCGUGGUCUCCUCCGGAUUGUCCGGGAGGGGACAAUGCAGUUUUGUGCUUUUCAUACUAUGAGACGGCGCGCACUGUAGCCAUGCCCCGGCUAUGGCUACCGUCACUGUCCUUCUACGGCGCGUCACUGUGCAGUCGUCCGACACGGCAAUGUGAGCAAUGACUGCUUUCCCGUCAUCAAAGGAGCGUAGCUUUACUUUAGACCGUAAGAUCAAGAUAAGACCGUUGGCAUAUCCCGGCUCUAGCCGAGAUAAGAUAGCUUUUGCUUGUCCUGCAAUUACAUGAGACAAGAUGAUGAUGCCGGCAUACUUUUGGUAUGUCGUCCUGUUAGAAAGUCGGCUUAUGAGUGCUGGUCUAUUCAUUUAUGCCGGUCCUGCUUUCGGUUAGCCGGUCAUUAUGUGUCGUCAUGAUCCUACCCGGGGUCAUUCCCCCGACAACAGGCGUACCGAGAAGCAAGUGGGAGCAGGCAGCGUGCGGGAGCGGACGGGCAGCGGGAAUCUAUGAGCGGAGGCAGUGCGCACAAACGGGCGGCCGCGCAAUGUUCGGUGUCGGGAUGAAUCGGGACGGGAAGAGGAGGAGUUUGCACUCAGAGUGGAUGGAGAGGAUAGUCAGAGGGAGAGCGAGAGAAAUUGGGAGAAGUGAUUUGAGAAAUAAAGUAGAAAGUAGGAGUAAUAGGAGAGCAUGAAGGCAAAAAAGUUAUCAUUGCUACAUGGUCUUAAUUAUUCAUAAUUAUAUUGAGAAUCACUUCAUGAAUUCAUCAAAAACAUUGAAAAACACUCACACAUGACUUUUCAAGUGUGAUGUAUGUGAGAACGGUGACACCCUGGAGGUAGAGAGCAAAAGAGUUGAUCAUGUGUCACUUUUUCUUUACACGAGAUAUAGAAAUAAGACAUGUGUAAAAGAGAAAGAGAUCAGAGUAUAACCUAAAAAAUAAACAUAGAGAAAAUUACGCAAAACCACCACAUUUGUGACACUCGAUGAUUUGACAGCUAAGUGCAUUGUGAUGCAAAACCAGACAGGGGGCCACCUGUUCGUGCCAGCUUGGCGCCACGCUCGACAUGGCCUGCACGACUAGGACGGCGUUCGGGUACGUCUCAGGCCACCGCUCGAAGUUCUGCCUCGCCCCUCCAUCUUCGAUCUGCCCCGCUGCACCGUGACCCAUGAGGUCGUCGCUCGCCUCGCCUCGCCGCGCGAGGUCACCGUCCUCGUCGCCCGCGCAUCGGCGGCGACUUGACGCAUCGCCAGUGCCGGGGAAGAUGACGGGCGCGACAGCACGAGGAGGCCCUCGGUAGCGAGGUAGGGGCGGCCGAGGUCGGGCUCAGACGCGGGGCGAUUGGGGCUCGCGGGAUCGAAUCCGUAGGCGGAGGGCGGCAGAGGAUCCAGAGAUGGGGGAGACGGUGGCGACGGCGGCGGGAUCUCGAGGAGGCUGGGCCGCGGCGGCGGGAUCUCGAUGUGGCUGGGGAGGAGGCGGCGCCCGGGUUGGGUUGGGCUUCUGCGCGAAACGCCCGUGUUGCGGCUGCGGAUGCCCGUGUUGCAGGAGCGUGGCGGGCGCGCGGGUUGACCGGCGGUAAGCCGGCAGCGUCUGUCUCACAGGGACGGCGGCGCUGCGCUUAUGACGAGUCCUCCGCGGCCCCGCGCCUACGACGUGGUCGCGCUCCGCUUCCGCGGCCGCGACGCCGUCACCAAUUACCACAAAAGCUCGAGCUCCCUUCUUCUUCUUCGUGUCCGGCCACGACUAGCGAGCUCGCGUUCCUGGACGAGCUGCGGCAGGGCCUGCUCCGCGGCCAUGGCGCCGGUGCACGCGUGCGCACCCCCAGCGACUUCGGCAAGCUCAACCGGCUCGUGGUGCCCAAGCAGCACGCCGAGAGGCAUUUCCCGGAGCCGGAGAAGACGACCGGCAGUAGCGGCAAUAUGGGCGUGCUGCUCAACUUCGAGGACGGGGAAGGAAAGAUGUGUCGUUCAGGCACUCCCAUGACGUCAUGGACCUGCUCGCGCGCGUGGUGUUCGCUCAAUAAGCUGCGUCGCGAGCAGAUAAGAGGCUGGUCGUUCUCGCUGCGGAUGAAGACAGCGGCCUCAAGGCGGAGGCUCAGCUGCAUGUCCCGGAAGUACUGAUCCCUGGUGAGGCGAUCGUCGCCGCUGUGGCCGAACUGCAACUCCUUCCGCUGCACAUCACGCAAGUGCAGAGCCUGCUUCUCAAUUACUACCUCCGUUCCAUGAUUCUUGUCGAAAUAUUACAUGUAUCUAGACGUUUUUUAGAAUAGAUACAUUCAUUUUUUGGCAAAUUUGAGACAAAAAUUAUGAAACGGAGGGAGUACGUGCUCACCAAAUUCUGGGGAUCGGUCGGGCGUCGGCCAAAGUGCCGAGGAGGUCCUCCGCGACGUCGCCUUUGACUCUCCACGUCAUCAAGCAGUUCGGCCACGACUUGUCCAGCGUGGCGCCAAGCUGGCACCGACAGGUGGGCCUCUUUGUCAGGUUUUGUAUCAAAACGCACUUAACUGCUGAAUCAGUGCGCAAGAGUACCUCCGGCUUCAAAAGCGGUGGUAAUUUGAAAAAAAUUAAAAAAAAAUGUGGUUUUUCUGGAAGUGUCCAAAAUGCGGUGGUUUUGCGUAAUUUUUUCAAGAACAUAUCAUAAUCGUUAUAUACAUAUGCCCAUGAAACACAUCAACAUUUGAUUUGACGUUUUGAUACAAUUUUUCGUUGUUCCGUAUUCACGGGCCUUUUGCUAGUUAACUUAUUAAGAGACUUCAAACGGGAAAACAAAUCUGACAUCCAGUUGCAGCACAUUAACCUCGUAUAUACCAUAGUUUUACAGUGCUGAUUUCAUAUCCUACUAACCUUUGGAUUGCUCCAUUUCAGUCUGUUCCAAACUUCUAAUAUCACAGCUACAGCCUUACAAGUAUAGCUUCCAUAACAGUCGAUAAAUUGCUCUUUAUGCCUAGCUGUAAGAUCAAGAAACAACUACUAACAAAUUAACACCACCAGAAUGACGAAUUUGUGACCUAAAAAACCUAUCUGAUUAACUCUCCCCUUCCGGGAAAAAAAUAUAAUAAACCUUCCAGGCAUAUCAUAACUUUGCUGUCGUUCACUAUAUGCAGUCCCUUCUAUGCCUCUGUUUUCGAGUAAUAGAUCGACCCAAGCGAACCCGUCGCACUGUGAGAGCAUCUAGCAAGACAUCCAACGAGCACUCCACUGCCUCAGCUUGCUCUUCCAGCUUGAACGCACUGAGGUCAGGCCGCAUGUGCAGCUCCGAGAGGAGACCAGCUGCGGCUGCCGCAGUGCAGGUACGAUCCCAUGCUGGCUGAGGUCUGUUUUCCGAAAACAGAUCAGCAAAAGUAAGAAUUAAAGACCUGGAAUAUUCAAAAGAAAACAACAAAUAUAAAAAAUAAAUACAGACUUAGUUUUUAGCUCACCGCAGUUUAUGCAUCACUGAAGCGCUCAACAUAGACAGUGAGAUACACGGUAUGUCUUCCUCCCCCCAUAUUGCAGCCCAUCUCUCCUAUAAAACCUUAGAUAUUAGGAUUCACUUAGCUAAUUGCUAAAUGACAUGCUUUAUCACACACUCGUGCUUAAAAAUGACUUCAACCAAGCAGAUGCCAUUCACGUGGUGUGUCCUAUGUUUGGUUGUGGCCUGGACAUGCUUUAUUGAAAGCACAGUUGCCCUGUGAGGGCAAACAUAUUAGCAAGCACCAUACAGUAGCAGGCGGUUGGGCCAGUGCUUCCACAGGAGCAUGUGGUUGUAGUUAGUUGAGUUGGCAAGUAUUCUUGAGUCUAUUCUACGUAGUAUGAGUUAAAUCCGCAUUUCCGAUUUAGCUUGGCAUCUAAAGUAGUUUAGGCCAAACUAGUUUUGUAACCUAAUCAAAUUUAGGUGGCGGCUUUUCCAGAAAGCUAGGGGAGGGCAGCUUCUCGGAGAAGCUGGUCUAGGAAGCCGAAAAAACUGGCCCUAAAUAUCUGCUGGACCAACACCUCAAUGGCGGGAAAGUAGAUAAAUUUGCCUCACAUGGCAAAGCAUUACCAUGAUGGCAGUGCCAAAAUUUUCACUUAUAAAACACAAAACAGUACCAUAAUUGCUUCCAUAAUAGUUCCACAAACAAGAAGACACGUAUCAGCUUAUAAAUUACGAUAAAAAAUCGCAUUAAAGGGUAAAGUGUGUACCUCAACUUCAUAUGCUUUAUGAGUUGCUACGUCCGCAAAUAAUAUUAGAUAACCUUGUGACCUUUACAUGUAAUGAACGCUUAGGAGUUGGAGCAUAAAGAGUACUACUCCACCAUCAAAGCCAUCAUCAGCUCAAUCGCAUAGUCAGUACACCUCCAACCAUCGCUGGCUGUGAAAUCUUAUUUAGGUAUGCUCCAACACCUAGUCCUAAUGUUGAAUGGCCACAAAGUCAAAUCCAACAAUAUCCAUGGAUGUGGUUAUAACUCCAAAACCGAUCAAAACAUACAAUCCUACCACUUGAUAUACCCCCGUACUGCCAACCAUAAUCUGCAAGAUGAUAUUGUGCUCCGGAUGGUGAUGGUGCCAAAUGUGCAUUUUUUUUAUGAGCAUCCUAUAUGGUAAAAAUGGUAUUUUGAAAUUUUAUUGAAGAUCAUCUCCUUUUGACAAUAAACACAUGCUGCUUGCACACAAAUAACUUGGGGCCAGCAGCGUGAUAAUUCAUAUUACAUUUUGAAUUUUUACUAAUAAGAAUUAACUUCUUCCGUAUAUUAAAUGUACUAUCGACACCUCUUGUCACUGCCACCAAGAGGACAAUACUGCAUAAGGGGAGGGUAUACCUAGGAGGUAAAACCGUCGAUGAUAUCCUUUGAUUAGCUUUGGAGUUGAUAUGUUCACAAAUGAAAUAUUACUUUCUGACGUUGUGGUCUUUGCAUGGAACAAACGCUUAGGAGUUGGGAGUUAAAUUUGGCAGUAUCAAACUGAUCACAUGCUUAGUAACCCCUCAAACAUCUCAGCAUGGCUUAUGUGUAUAUCAUGGUGAUGUUCGGUAUGCUCCAACAACUAAACAUGGUGUUGCGUGGUCACAAAGUCAAAUUCAAUGAAAUGAAUGAACAUGGUUACAACUCCAAAAUUAAAUAAAACAUACAACCUUACCAUUUCAUAUCCCCCUAACAUAAUGUCAACCAUAAUGAGCAAGAUGAUUCAGUGCUCCUGCUCAUGGCGGCGAUAGUGCCAAAGGUACAAAGAAUGACAUUUUGGAAUGUUAUAUGGAGCCUCUGUUGAAAUUUAAUUGCACAUAUCACUUCGGCAUUCGUUGGCAUAUGAUUGGAUAUGGCAAACACAAAGUCACGAGGGUAAGACCAACCAAUGGGCCCUAGCAUGGUGCAGCAGAAGCAAACCAUAAUGGGCCAAUGGCCCUUAACUUGACUGCGAUGAUUUCCUCUCUGCUUCCUGUCCUUCCUCCCAGAGCCGAAUCUGCUGUGCUCAGAUGCAAGCUCAUAGGAUUUGGCAGACCACUAUGGAGGCCAUAUGGUUCCCUCUUGUCCAAAAGGAUUAGACUAACACAGGCACAGGAAAAAAUGAAGCUUACCUGGACUACAUUUGUUGUAUGUAUUACGUAAACAAUGGUUGCAUCAAUAUAGCUUAAAACCUUGAGCAAUGAUUUUUCAUGUGGAAGCAGACACAAACAAGUAAAAGGAGUGCAGCAUGUUGAAUGAGGAAUGCACUGAAUCGUACCUUCAGCCUUCUGUAUAAUGCGGCAGAGUUACUCCAGGUACCAUCAAGCAAGACCAAGUUAAGAGGUUCACCUUGUGCUUCCUACAUUCCAAAAGUUAACCUGUUACCAUGUACCGAUAGUGAUAUCUUGCUGCAUCAUGUUAUUUUACCAUGAUACUUGAUAUCUCUUCUCUUACACAUCACCAUCAUAAACACAUAAAACCAGUACAGCACGAACACAUAAAACAUGUACACAUAAAACCAGCAAACAUUCAAAGGAGUAACUAUUGAUAUUCAAUACUUUGCAUCUUAAGGUGCUAAUAAAUAAAAUUCCCAAUGUCGAACAUAACUAAGAAGACUGCACUGCUUAUAAGCACUUCGAUUUGAAAGUUGGUUUUGCAACAUUUCAAGUCAUAGAUACAAGCUUAAAUAAAAAAAUACAUACCAUCUCCUGACAUUCAGCAUUCAAGGUCAAAUCAUCAAAUUUAAGAUCCUGGACAGAUUUGGGGGUUGUACUCUUAUUUGGGUACAGAAAUGAGACCUUCCCCUUUCCUGGAGGACAAAAUCAGGAUGGAAAUAUACAGUAAUUAGUUGUAGUGACAUACAUAAUCAGAAACACCCUAACUAACAAUAUUUGCUAUCGAUUAAGCAAAGAACAAACAAAGUUUUCUAGUCUCUCCCUCUCAUCUUGAAUAAUAAGCAGUUAAAAAGCUCUCAAUGGCAACGAAGAGCCCUGCUGACAGGUAGAGGAAGGCAAGCACCCUACCAUAAAUCCACGGACCCAUGCCCGACCGUGCAUAUAAAAAUGAAGCUAAUUGAAACAAACAUAACAAGUGAACCGAAUCUAAAACGACAAAGAAAAUGAGUAAGUUAAACCCUAGCAAGCUUUCAUGCCAUCAAAGGUGUUUUUGAGAUUACCUGACCGCUGGAAUGCAUCCCACAUUAUAUCUUCCUGUUCUUGGAUGCCGAAGAGACACAAGGGCGCAGCUUGGAUGCCAAAUACUUGCCAGAGUAACUUUCCAGUGUUGUUUUGCCGCAAGAAGUCCUGAAAGAACAGAAAUGCUCACACAACCCAAAAGGAAAGGAUACAGCAGCAAGUACAGCACAACAGACCUUUGGAUGCAUGUAUAGCCAGAAUUUUAUUCCCCUCCACAAAUUGCAAGGGGCAAGUUUUGAGCACAUACAAUCUUCCAUUGGUAGCCAGCACUGCAAUUUAGAGAUAUCAAGAAAAACUUUAAAACUCUUGGCAUGAACAUGAGUGAAAAAUGACUACAGCAAUGUAUGCAAAAAUAAGCUUCUGUUGAGUAGAUCAUUAAAGCCAAAUUGAUGCAUAUGUAUAGCACUGAAUUCCUUUUCAGACUGAUUAACUGGUACGCUACCUUCUGGCACAGAUACCCCCUGCUCCCGAGCAGACGGCAACCAAUCUGCCGUGCAGAGUAGUACUGCAGCUUCUGAUCGGAGUCGGGGAGCGUCUCGUACACAGCCCUGUGCUUCUUAUCCUCCACGUCCUUGAAAUCGCCCUACGACGAGUUGAGAGAAAAUCAAACCAAUAAAUUCAAUAGCAUUCCCGUCGAUUUAAUUCUUGAUGCGUUCUGUAACUUUUAGAAGCACAUACACAGCAACAACAUCUAGGUCCAAUAAGGGAUUGAAGCAAAAACCGUUACCUUCAGCUUGGAGCCAACGCCACCGAACCGCAUCUUCUCGCCGGCCAAGGAUUCCAUCCGGAGCAGCUCGCGGACGACGGCGGACACCACAUUUGGGAGAGGAGAGGAGGUUCCCCAUCGCUGCCACUCCUCCGUGCUCACCUCACCGCCGUCUCCAGCGCCGGUGGAGAGGGCUUCCUCCUCCGCCUCUUCGACCGCUAUCUCCGCGGAGAAGACCAUGAGAGACCGCGUUGGGGUGGGGCAGGGAGGCGGACCCUGAGGCCGGCGGAGGAGGGCGGGAGGGUGGGGAAGCGGGAGGCGGCGGUGGAAGGCGAGGGAGCGGAUGGAGGUUGGACGAGCCAGCAUUGCCGCUGCUGUUUUUUUAUUAUUGCCCGUCAAUACCACAGGAACAACAAUCCGAAGUUCGGAAAUCCGAACAUGGUGGACUUUUAGAUUUUUCUUUUCUUUUCUAAUUACUAGUACAAUGCUCGCACGGCCUACGCAAAAAAGUUCAGGUUAUAGAAAAGACAAAAAUUGACAUUUGAAAUGUGUUGAACAAUAAGUAUUAAUCAAAGUGUCAUUUACUUCAGCAUAAACUAUUUUGUGAGGAAUUCUUUGUACACAGUAUUCUUUGUGUAUGUCUCGCUUGUACUCAUUUCCACAUUUUUGUUCUUCGUAUUGUUCUUCUUUUUAUUCUCCUUAUUCUCUUGACGUGUACCUGUUAGUACCUUUAUGUUCUUUGUCGCUGUUGCCUUAGAGAGUGCUACAUAUAGUUGGCCAUGUGAGAAAACUGGUUCUGGCAGGUAGAUGCCUACAUUUGGUAUUGUCUGACCUUGUGAUUUGUUUACUGUCAUUGCGAAGCUGAGCCUGAUAGGAAACUGUUUCCUCUUUGAAACGGAAUGGGAACAUCUCGUCGUCAGAGGGGCAUAAUGGUAUUCGAGGCAAGAAAACUCGUGUUCCAGAAUGUUGUCCUAGCACAAUCUCUGCAUCAAUAGCAUUUUUUUGAAAUCCCCGUACGACCAACCUUGUGCCGUUGCAUAGGCCAUUUGCGGGGUCGAUAUUCCUGAGUAGUAUGAUUGGACAAUUAAUCUUGAGUUUCAGCAUAUGUGGAGGCAGUCCGUUUGGUGUAAGGGUGUUUAGGAAUUCUGGUGGAUAGUAGUUAUGCGGGUCUUCUUCUACACAAUCGAAGCUGUGGUACACCAUCUCCUCCCCUUGGAAGCAAUCAAUCAUUUUUAGGUUGAUUCUGUCUACGCACUCGUUCUUUGUGGAUAAAAUUGCUCUUGACGUGAUGUAUUUUGGAUCUUCUAUGGAGGCAUCGUUUUCUUUGUAGAUAUAGUUGAUGAGACUAUCCAGGCCAUUAUCAUCCGUCUUAUUUGGCACACAUAUACUUGUAGGCAGAAGUAUUUCUCCGUUUUCGUUUGUCAUCUCGGUUCCGUUUCCAAUGCGCAGUAGGUAUUCUGCAAACCCUGGGUCGUUUUGAGCCCUCAUGUUUUGCACAAGCUUAAUUUUUGUCAUGCAGUUCCAGAGCUCUGACCUGCUUAGUGACGCAUCUACUAUUUGGGCUCUUAUACCCUUUCGUACAACGGGAAGUACUUGUCUAAAAUCUCCUCCAAAUACAAUUGUUUUUCCACUGAAUGGAAGAUCCGGUCUAUCCAUUAUGUCUUGCAUGCUUCUGUCGAGCGCCUCAACUGCCUACCUCUUUGUCAUCAGUGCUUCAUCCCAGAUUAUUAGAGAUGCAGUUUUUAGUAGCUUGGUUGUACCGCUUUGUUUUGUGAAUCCACAAAUUGCCCCAUCAUCUAUUCUUAGUGGAAUCUUGAACCUUGAGUGUGCAGUCCUCCCUCCAGGCAUUAUGGAAGCAGCAACACCGGAAGUGGCCGUCGCAAGAGCAAUCUUGCCUUGUCUGCGUACCGUGUCCAAUAGGGCUCUGUAAAGAAAUGUUUUUCCUGUGCCUCCUGGUCCAUCGACGAAGAAUACUCCUCCUCUUUGGCUGUCGAUCGUGGCUAGGAUUUUGUCGUAGGCCGCCUUCUGCUCUUUGUUUAGUUUGUUAUGUAACGUUUCGUCCUCAGGGUGUGUCUCGAUUGAGUACUCCUCGGUCAUCUCUCUAGGCAUGUCGUUGUUUGUCAUGUCAUGUUGUUCGUCUAUCUCUGGCAGAGGAAAUGACUGGAUGUCUUUUCCCAUAGAUUGCAACAUGCCCCUGAUAUCUUUGAGUACCAUCUGUUCGAUAGUGUGCUUGCAUUUGUAGUUUCUACUAUAGUCCUCAGACAUUCCCUCUAGGUGAUUGUUCCAGAGGCCACGGAUGUCGCUAGGCUCACAAAACACCAGGAUUGUUGCGAAUAGCCUGUGGAGCGAUGAAGGCUUCCGGAACAACUCCGCUUCUGUCAUGCAAUCAUCUAGUGUGUUGUCUGCCUUAAUGAGCCCCCUUUUUUCUGCAGCUUCACGGAAGUUUGGCAUUACUUGGCCAUCAACUGUUCUCAGGUCUUCGUAGCUUGUGGCCCCUGGCACGUGGUUUAGGAGAACUCGGAGAUAGUAUCGUUCUCCUUCAGCCGGAUGUGCUGAGAUGAUCCUGCCAACCUAGGCCGUACCUUUUCAUUUCCUUUCUUGCCACAAUUUAUCUCCUCUUUGCCAAGUAUAAUGUUCGGGGAAGUCCCUGUAUGGUAUGUCUCGUGCUUUCUCAUUUAAUCUGUUUGCGUCGAAGUAUGCUGUCAACAUUGACCUAUCUGCUCCACCACGGCUGAUAACGUUCUUGAUAUUUUGUUCGGCAUUAUAUGAAACCAUGUGCAUAUUUGGGAGAUGUAGCUGUAGUUGCAGGACGGAUGGAUGUAUUUUGCUUAAUUCGAACCCAUAUAUUCUCCAUAGUGCUUCCGGAGGUGUCACCCACCGUGCAUCUCUGUACUGCCUUAUCUCGUCGAUUUUAGCUUCAUUUACUUUUUCAGUGACGGAUACAGAUGCUCGGUCAUGUCCCUUGUAGAUGUACUUAAACAGGUACUUAACGGCUUUAAUGCUUGAGCAUAUCUCGACAUUUAUGUGGCAGUUGAACAUCCUCAACAGAUAGGGGUUGUAAGGAACGACCCACCUGUUAUCUAGCGUGCAUUUUCGGAUUGUUUCGGUCCGACCAUCAUUGCGUCUCCUAUAUAGUGGGUAUGAGUCCUUGCCUUGAAUUGUAUUUUCGUUAAAUGUGGAUAAUUGUUCUUGCACGACGUGCGAUUCUUUGUGCACGGACAAUUUCUAUUCAGUGCACCGCAAGGACCAUGCAUCAUAUGUUUGAUUACCAUUUUGUAUAGCUCUGGAUACUUGUUCUUGUUAGGGAGUUCAGCCGAGAUUAUCUUGUCAUAUUGUUCUGGACAUGUGUACUUGUAUUUUCCAGUCAUGAUAAGAAGGAAGUGAGCAUGUGGUAGUCCCCUCUUCCGGAACUCUACAACAUAGGUAUAUGCCUUAACCUUUCCAAGAAUGCUCUUCUCAAAUAGUUGCUUCUUCAUUUCUUCUAGCUUCGCCCUAAAUACACGGACAACGAUAUUUGGGCGAUCUUGUGGUGUCUAUCCACACUCUAGCUCACAUUUGAUCUCUUCCCAGUUUGGGUUGCAGGUCAUUGUGAGGAAUAUAUCUGGCUUUCCAUAUUUUCUAACUAAAGCCAUUGCAUCUAGAUAUCGACGAAGUUUAUCUCGUGGCCCUCCAAUAAAUGAUGAGGCUAAAACUGUUCUUUUUCCGAUUGCAUUUCCGUCUUGUUCUCUGGCUUUAAUGCUAUCGAGAAGGCCUUGGUAUAGAUCCGCCCUUAUUUCUUUCUGAUGAUGAAACAUGUAGUCCAGUCUAGAGUUCUCAAUCUUGAUAUAUGUAUCUACAACAAACUGUUGUAGUAGUCGUCCGCCGUACAAUAUUGGGUUGAAGAUGUUUGGUCGCAUAUGUAAUUUAUAGCAAUAGUAUUCUUUCAUGGUUACCCACAGCCUACUGGUUGCAUCUGUUCCAAGCAUUGUGACAUAAAAAAGUUAGCUGCAUGUGUAGGAGUGUACCAUAUAUCUCUACCUAAUAAUAAAAUCAGGGAUGAAUAUUGAAUGAAUAUUGAAGACAGUACUGACCUGGGUCAUCAUCAUCAUCGUUUUCUUCUGCACCAGCCUUUUUCAUAUCUUCCUCUUCUGCAUUUGCCUUUGGUAUCUUUGAAUGCAAACCUAGUUCACCUCUUGGAAAGAACAGAGGAUACGACAACGGAUCAUAGCAUCCAUAAUAUGAUUUAAUGAUCUGUAUUUCGUUGUUGUUUCCAUGUAUUAUUACGUUCUUGUCAAAAGUAUUUCUUCUUUGAUUUCCUUUGAUCCACACUGCAGCUACCUCUGAAGUGAUCGGUGCGUUGUAUGUUCUCUGGUCCAAUCUUUGGUCAAGGUUCAAGAUGAGCCUGUAGUCGUCAAGGUCUUCGGCUUGUCCCAAACUUCUAAAUUGUUUAGAAUAUGGAUUCUCACGUAGAAUCUCAGUUAUUAUGCCAACUACGUGUUUGUCUUGCUCGUAAGUUUCCUUGCGGCAACGGCGGUACCGAUGUUCUAAGCUUGGAUCAUCAUCAUAGAAGUAUAGUUCCAGAUGCUUUGGAUCUGAGCGACUAUUAGCAAAUGAGUGUAUAGGUCUUUGUUGGUUGGACUUACUGAAGAGGGUAUGUCUGUCCAUGAAAGAUGGUAAGUUGUCCAUAAUUUAUAUUUUUUUUGAAAUGCAUGAGUAUAUAUUCUAUAAAAUUUAGAGUAUUACCUUUAAUCCUGAUUUCUGGCUUCUUUAGAGGUUCUGUGUCACCAAUGUCUUUUUCAUCACGGAUAUUAUGGAAUCGAUGGCCUCACGGCGUUCAUUCUCAUUGAAAAAUGGUUGCGGUUGUUCAUCCACGUUUUUGUUGGUUGCUUCUAUCUCAUCGUUGUGAGUUUUCAUCUUGGAUGUGUCCUCUUGUACCGAUACCUGAACAGUUUUCCUCUGUCUUGUCGAGAAUUCUUUGUUACGACGGUGUACCAAUGUUUGUCUUUCUCCCGGUGUCACAGUUUUUCUGCGUCUUACUUUUAAGGGAGAUAUAUUAACUUCCUGUUCUGCCGUGAUAUAUGCAGGGUUCUCCAUCGCAAUUGAAUCUCUGCUUGGUGUGCUGCGCUUCAGUUCACGGUUAGCUCCAAUUUGAUUUAUUCUAGCUUUCUUUUGUUCUGGCUGCAUAUUUGCAUAUCUCCGCCUAUGUUGUGCCUGUUGUUUUGUCUUUUGUUCCGUCACCUUUUCUUUUUUUUGCUCAUAGGCUUCACGCCGUUUUUCCAGUUGUUCUUGCUUUUCUUCAUCGGUCUUUUGCUUAUAGGAUUCACGCCGUUUUUUCAGUUUUUCUUGCUUUUCUUCAUCUGUUCUUUUUGCAUCCCGCUCUCUCUCUCUCUUUUCCUUUUUUGUUCCUUGACAUCCAUAACUUCAGAGUUCGACUCAAAUUGCUUGGCUGCAUGAUAAUUUUUAUAUGUUGUAAGUAUGAAAUCUGGAUAAUAUGAAUAGAUCAGGGGUUUUUUCCUAUUUCAAGCCGGCUGGCCAACAGCAUAUUUGAGAGCUACAUACCCGUAAGGAAGUUGAAGGGAUGUCAUGUGUAAGGAGAUGAAUAAUAUACCUAAUGACUUGUUGUAUUUUCUUAUCAGGGUUGGCCAGGCGACACGAUGGUUGUGGCUUGGAGUUCAAAGUGUUGGACUACAGCGUAUCUCUAGCUACCACGCCUGUAUAUAAAGGCUAGGUCGCCGGAGGGAUUGUCAAAGUAUAUUAGGAUUCAAACUGAUCCUUGCCUGAGUAGGAUUAGGAGUCACGUAGGAUUUGGACUGAUCCUUAUCUGAGUAGGAUUAGGACUCAAGUAGGAUUCGGUCUCCUAUUUUGUAUUUGUGAAUCUAGAUAUGUUUGGCUGCAUGCUAUUUUCAGUUGAUAAUAAGGCCCUGUCAAUCGUUGUGCUACCAUGUUCAGCAGCUCAGCAAUGCAGUUGACGGGAAGCAGGAGUAUGAGAAGCUACCAUGAUCUGUGCCGAUGAGACUUCAUACCGUACCAGACAGAAACACUUUCAGAAGGGAGCAGAAGUAAUAAAAAUUGUCACGACUUGCAUUGCUCUAAUGUAUCGGUCAGCCUCAAAUCUCUACUUUCUGAUGCUCGUCAUAUCUCUGAAACCUGUCAUGGUGGAUUUCAGGUACCCUUUUAUCGAUGCCAACAUGAAGGAACUUUUAGCUACUGGUUUCAUGUCGAACCGUGGCCGUCAGGUAUCCUUUGGCACACUAUCAGUCAGCAGCAUGACUGCAUAAGGAUUUAACACUGCAGGCUUUCCAACCUCCCAAUCAUUCAUCUUAUAUGCAGAUUGUCUGCUCAUUUUUGGUCUGAGACAUGGCUAUCGAUUGAAGAAUGGGCCGGACCAAGUUCAGGAUGGGUCAGGCUACUCCAGAAGGAAAAUAAACCACAGCAAGUAGCACUUGGCAUGAUUUUAUUUCUGAUGCAUUGACAGAUGAAGCAUAUGCUUGUAGAAAUUGGACUGGGAUUGAUAAAAAACUGGAGGAUGUCUCAAGCUGUUAUAGAAAUAGAUACUAUGGAGUUCAUGUCCCCGUGGAAAUCCAAACACCAUGAUCUGUCUCCCAGAUAAUAAACAUCCUCAUGAACCCAGUGUCUGAACUUUAGAUCAAGUUGUUGUUAUUAAAGAUAAUAACUACGAAAUGAUAAAACAGGCACUUCAAUGAUUAGGCUACAUCCCCGCCAUAACAGAGAACAGAGUAAUAAGUACAAAAAGGCAGAUGCAGUUUAAGAAAAAGUGUCUUGAUCAUGAAACCAACAGGCAUGUCAAAUUGGAAAUACAUUCUUACUGGUAACUAAUAAAGAACCGGCAAUCAGUCACUCCAAGUCAAGUACCAGGUUUUGGACAAAAACCAAAACAAUAUAAUUAGUUGAGCACAUUAGUUCCUGAAAAGCAAUACAAACUCCGCAUUUGAGUAUGUGACAUCCUCAACCCACAAUAACUGAAAACAACACAAACUAAAAAUUUGAGUCUGUGACAUCCUUAAAAGUGUGGAGGCAGUUGGUGAUGCAGCUUCUUUAUUGGUCUUCGUUGCGUUUUCAUCCUCAGAUCUUCACAUUCAUAUUGGUUUGGAUAUUCCCGAUACAGUUGAUGAUAUCCAGUACACCGGCGCGCAUGUUGACUUCACAUUCAUUUUUCUUGAAUGUCAGUAGCUUUCCCAAAAUUUGUUUCCUUAGCUCGUAUCCAUCCUAUACAUUGUAUAUGAAUAAGAUCAGCAUGUCAUGUGUAAAAAGGAUAACGAUUUAAUGCUUAUGAUAUUGACCUUUAAAAAUGGCAGAUUCAAUUUUUCGUCAUCCCAUGUAGACAUGAAGAGUGUAAUAAGAUAACCAGACAAUUCCCUAUGUAACAUAAGAUAAAAAUUAGUCACAAAUGGCAAAAUAUAUAUAUGUAUCGUACAUAUUGAGUAAACAUGUUACCUGUUGUGAAUUGGAAUAUUACUUAUGAUCUGUUGAUGCCAUAGGAAAAUAUUUUCAUUCCAUGUAGACCCAGGGCAUGCCUUUGACAUGGCUUUCGGUAAGUGUUCAGAAAUCCACAAAAGUUUGGGCACAUAUUUUGCGUAUCGGUUGCGUUGAUAGAUGGGGUCAGUAGGAGUAGGAUCCAAAAUGUAGACAGUUCUCGUAUCUUUGGCUAGUACGAAUAGAAUAAAUCCAUUGUUGGCUUGUAUUGGAAUAUGAAUCUGAAUUAAGCUUGAAUUAGGUGUAGAUUAAAAAAAUUGUGUUGACAUGUAUAUGCAAGUGGCCUUACCGUUUUGCAGGAUGAAACGUUAUAUUUGAUACCAGGCCAGCUACGAACGGAAUAUGCUAGUUGUUCCACAUCUAACUUUUUCCGGUAGGUUGGAUGUCGUCCAAAAUCAGUAAUCAUCUAGGAUAUUAUAACAUACAUGAGUGUUUAGAAAGGUAUCAGAAAAAUAUUUAGUAUGUAGAUAUAGACACAAAAAAUACAGUUAAUAUAAGAAAUUACCCAAAAUCGCAUGUCAAGAUAAUGUUUCGAUAUCAAUCCUUUUCUUUUUUUCACUGUUUGGAUAUCGUCAAACAUGAUCUUCCGUAUAACCAAAUUGAAGCAGUCACACUCCAUGGGCAACUCUUCAUUUAGCAUUCCUUGCAGCCUUUUGAGAGUUAAGCUAAUUGGAUAUGGGUCAGAGCUUUGUACCCAAACUUUCCUGCAAAUCAUUAUCAUCACAAAGAAAAUAAGAUAACGUAUUUAUCAAUUAUAUUCAAUUAGUAAAAUAAAAUUACAUGCAAUAAAUGGCUUACUCUAAAAUUUCAGCAGGACCGAUUGAUUUGAUGUAGUUACAAAGUCCACCUUCUAACUCAUCUACACUCAUGUAAGAAACAACAGAUAUCAGUGAUUGGUAUCUUUUUUCAAUAGAUAAUGAGUUUAUUGGCUUUGGCCGAUUUUCGUCAUCUAGGCUUUCCAACAGCAUAACAUCAUUUGGAUCUCCCUCACUAUAAUCACUUUCUUCAAUCAUUGUACUCGCUUGCGCCGUGUUUGUUUUCCAACAUAAUAGUAUGGCAGCUAACUUAUAUCUAAAAUCAAUAAUAUUUUCCUGCAAAGUAUACACAAAUAUUAGCAUUUUACUCAUAUAACAAUUAAAAUGGCACCCACAUAUACAUGUUUAUCAAACAGAAGAUUUAUUUCUUUACCUGUGUAAUGGAAUGUGUUAGUGUAUGUCCGGUCCAAUAUUCCAUGAAUUUAAGCAUAAACAGACCACAAGAUGAACUGCAUGUUUCGAACAAAAUUGAGUACUCCACAUAAAUUACAACAUUUCUUAUAUAUGGUUAUCUGUAAACAAAAUUGUGUUAUAUAUACCUGUCUUUCUGAAUUGGAUUAUGUAGUUGUUCUGUAAUCGUCCAUUUAGUAACAUCGAGGUCUUUCCAAUUAUGAUUAUUCAUGUUUUCUUGAGUUUUAAGAAUGUCCAAAUGAUAUUGUAGUCCUUGCAGCUGAAAAAUUAUUAGGGGUAGAUAACACACGUAAGCGGAAGAUCAAUUGACAACAUUUUUUUACAGAAAAGAGUUAUAAGCAACUAACCGUAUUAGUGAGAUCAACUCGGUUGUGCUCCCAACAUAAUGAGUCGAGUACUUGUAUCUCAGACUUUUCAACGUUGACACAAGCUAAAUACCAAUGCGAGUGCUCGAUGUUUAUUGGAAGAUGAAUCUGCAAUCAAUAUAAUGAGUUAAUCUUAUCUUAGAGAUGUAAUAAUAAUAAGUAAAUAAUAGAACUUAUAAUUAUGGGUAUGGUUGUUACCAUGUCAUGCUUGAGAUAGUUUCCGACAAUCUUUGUCAUAAAGGUUGCUUCAUGUAUUCCAAUCUUACCAUCCCGUUUUAACAGCCCGGCUAAAAAGGUAUUCUCAAAAUAUACUUUAUGAUCGUUCUUAUUUUGCUCAUGUACUUCUUGUAUACAAUAUAUAUACGAGUUGAUUACCUAAAAAGAUUUGAAAAAUAUUAAUUGUUAAUGAAUAUUAAAAUAGUCAUAAACUUUUUUCUUGUUAGUUAAUAAAGGUACUUACAUCAUCCUUUAGCCAUUUGGCACCAUCUAGCAGGCAUCUCAAAUCACACUGUUUUACACAUACUUGAUCUAUCUUCACCAAUAUUUCUUUUUCAGAAGAGUCUUCGAUUACUAUAUGAGCACACAGAUCCAGUUCGGUCAAUGCGUAAUCUACAAAAAGAUCGAAGCAACAGAUUUGCGUUAUAUCCUGAUUUAGAUAUAAUGAAAGGCAUAAGUACAGAAGAUGAGUGAAAAUUUUACCUUGUGGAAGAUAGUCAUAUGUCUCAUUUGUAUGUUGAGGUACGUCUGGUUGCUUACCAUCGUAUGCUGAAAUGGUUUGCUUGUCAUCAUCUUCUGAAAGUUUUUCUUCAUUUACUAAAUCAGAAACCGGCGAUAACGUCGACUUGGUUUCAGAACAUUCAGAAACCAUCGACUUGGUUUCGGAACAUUCAGAAAGCAGAGAUGAUGCUGAGAUGGAAGGUGAUGACAGUAAAUCAUCCAAAACACUUGUUUCACAACAUUUUGCUUUUUUCAAAGGCCGGUUAUCAAAAUCCUGAAAGGUGGUUGUUUCAAUGUUGUGGUCCAUGUUCUGUAAACACAAGCACAAAAAUCAAAGUUUAAGAUCCCAACAGAGAUAGAGCCAAACAUUCAGAAAACAAUUAGCAUGCUCUGACUACACAAAACAAUCAAACAAAAUAAUCAGAAAGAUGCUAACAUAAAUUUUCAAGUUUAGGGAUUGAACUAAACAUACACUCGUGCACCAUAAUCAUCCUUUUGAACAUAACUUUCACAAAAUCAAAGAGAACCUUGGAGGAGGAGGGGGCAUUGUGGCUUGGUUGUGAUGCCCAUUGCUCAGGCAACAGUAUAUGGUAUGGGAAAUUGGGAAUGAAAGAUGCAUUUGUGAGUGGAAUGUCUGAAUCAAAUUCUGAAAGCAACUCAACGGUAUUUCUGAAUGUGUUAAGCUGAAUCAUUAGCCAUUUUAAUCAAUCAAAGUACAUGUUCAGCUUUCUGAAUUCUGAAAUUCUGCAUGGUGGGUUCCAAGGUGUCCACUACAAUAUACUUUCUGCUAUAUUCUUCUGGAGGACAUAAUGCAUAACAGCUAUUUUCUUCUAUAUCAACAUAAUAUAAUGCAUAGCUGUAAAAAAACAUAUGCGGUGAUAUAAUGCAUAAGCAACACUACAUGUGCAAGACCACGAAUUUCAGAGGUUUAAAAAAAUUAGGAUCACGUUGGAUUUCAGAGGUUAAAAAUUAGGAUGGCAGAGCAACACUUCGACUAAAUUAACUUUUCUUGAUUUGAUCGCCGCAACUCUCUAUUCUGAACUCCAAUUAACCUACAGGAGAGAAAGGAUUAGAUUGGAUCGAGAUUGGAUACCCUGCUGCUGUCCUAGGGUUCAAGAGGAGGGAGAGGAAACGCAUCAGAGAGAGUGGGUGCCAUGGGCCAUGGGAAGGGGAGACGGAGGGGCCGCCAUGCGAGGGGAAGUCACACAAUCUCAUCUCAACAGAUUCAAUCAAUAAAGAGCAAAAUUAUAAGAAUCCCUAGGGAGGGGAAGCCAGGAAGGAGAAAGCUGAGACCUUGUUGUCCUCCUAUGCUGGAGUGCUCGGUGGUGACGGAGUUGACCGUAGAGGCGGUACCUUGGGCGAGAAAACGUCUCGAGCGGAUCUGGCGAGGCGUGCUGUCGAAGUUCUGGCAAGUCAGCAAGCGAGACGGCACCUCGGGCGGAGCUUUGUAGAACGGGGCAAAGGAGUACAUGUCGGAACCCCAUUGCUCGAGCAGGAUUUUGCCUCGGAGAAGAAUUUGUCUCGGAUUUAGGUUCGGAGGAGAGCAACCCAGUCGAGGAGUAGAUGGCGAGCGCGCAGGAGACAACGACGGCGGGCCCGGCAGCAGCCGGGUUAAUCUGCCGCUGGCUGCUGCUGCUGCUGCUGCGGCGAGGGCACGUCGGCAUAGCGGGCGAGAUGCGGGUCGGCCGGGGAUGAGUCGGGAGAGAUACGGGAGACGCAAAAUUGCAGUUUAGCCCAUACCUUGCAAAACAAACCCAGUUCCGUCCUUAAUAUGGACCGGGGUUAAAUUAACAAAAAUGUGAAGGGGCAAAUCGCAAAACUUGCGGGCGGACAACGACGAAGGAAGCAUUCCUCCUUUUAUUAUUUGGGUAGAAAUGUUACUCCGUAGCUUUCAUGCUUCAAAUUCGACCUAAAUUUAACUUCCAUAUUUCAAAAUUCAACCUUGUAUAAUUUUGUCACUAUCAAAACUCCAACUCCAUGGGUCUAUCAAAAAGUUUAGUAUGGACACGAGCUUAACAAUUGCCCGUACCACACGUCAAGAUGGUACGUGAUUUGUCACAUUAAUAGUUUAGUGAUAAGGGAUGGCCCGAUCUUCUCAGAGAGCAAUGAGGGUAACUUGUAUGAUUUUACAAAUCUCGCGAUUGUUCACCCGUCGCCGCACGACGAACUUGCAACCCAAUGAAAAUUCGCAACACAACACACUUGCGCAGUAGUCCGCCGACCACAAGCGGUUUCGCAAUCUUCCAAUUCACAACGGAACGACAGAUUAAGUUCGAACUUUUAGUAGAUAAAACACCCUAUCGAAACGAAUAUGGUGUAGGUAAAAUUUUUGAUCGAAACAAAGAGAAAUCAUAUACUUUCAGAUGAAUGCUUGGAGCAAUUCAACAAAAGGUUCUGAAUAAGCUAAAACGUGGUCUUCCCUAAACCUAGUCGUACCCCUUGUUUAUAUAGAUGAGGAGUAGCCCAAACUCAAUACAGACUCCGACUCAAACUCAAACUAGAAUUCGACUCAGACUCAAAAUAGAACUAGAAUUCGACUCAGACUCAAACAUGGACUCGCAGAUCCGGUCGCUCCUUAGACGUAUCGGACUCGUCGUAGGCUCUCCUAGUGCGCCUCAUAUUCGUACAUGACUUGUGGUGCAUCCUGAGCAUAUCAUCCUUGUCGUUGGUUGCCCCUUGCACACAAGACAUUCUUCUAAGUUGUAUCAUUCAUCUUCACUUUUGGUGUGGCUACCUCCCUCUCCUCCCUCGCGCAUAUCUUGAUGUUGGAUAUCAACACUUGAGGAUCUGUACCCUCAUCAUCCUCCCCUUCUUCAAAAAGCGUUGUCCUCAACGCUGAAAGGUCUUUUCCAGCGGGUGGAGUCAGAUCAGCAACAUUGCCACACUCCAUCUUCAAGCCUCGCCAGCCUGCCACACCACGUCCUCCCUCUCGGCUAGCUUGACCUGCCCUCGGCGCCACUUCGGUUGUCGGCGCCACCAACCUGAUUGAGACAUAAAGCAUCCUCCGAAUGUAACGAAGCACACCUCGCAUAUCACCCCGAACAAACAGGACAAAUUCUUGUACGCUAAGAGUCCAAAUAAGCUGAGUACACCCGUAUGUGCAAUUUGUUGGAAACCAAUAUCUCCUUUUCCUUUUAAUCCUUUCCUUGCUGUCCUCGUGAAGCCACAAACUUCUCGGAACUCGGAACUUGCUGGAACUUGCCGGGACUUGCCGAAACUUGUCAGGACGUGCCGUGAAGUCGGAUAUGAAUUUCUUGGCUACACGUGCACACAUAAAUCUCCUCUUGCCUUUUUUUUUCUUUUUUUUCGUAGCAAUCUAUACCAAGAUGAUAAGGGAUGGCCCGAUCUUCUCAGAGAGCAACGAGAAUAACUUGUAUGAUUCUACAAAUCUUCCGGCUGUUCACUCGUCCCCACACGACGAACUUGCAACCCAAUGGAAAUUCGCAACACCACACAUUUGCGCAGUAGUCCGCCGACCAUAAGCCAUUUCGCAAUCUUCAAAUUCCCAGCGGAACGAUAGAUUAUGCUCGAACUUUCAGUAGAUAAAACACUCUAUCGAAACGAAUAUGGUGUAGGUAAAAUUGCUGAUCGAAAGAAAGAGGAAUUAUAUACUUUCAGAUGAAUGCUUGGAGCAAUUCAACAAAAAGUUCUGAAUCAGCUAAACCGCGGUCUUCCCUAAACCUAGGCGUACCCCUUGUUUAUAUAGACGAGGAGUAGCCCAAACUCAAUACAGACUCAGACUCAAAUUCAAACUAGAAUUCGACUCAGACUAGAAUUCGAAUCAGACUCAAACUAGAACUAGAAUUCGACUCAGACUCAAACAUGGACUCGCAGAUCCGAGCACUCCUUAGACGUGCCGGACUCGUCGUACGCUGUCCUAGUGCGCCUCAUAUUUGUACACGACUUGUGGUGCAUCCUGGGCAUAUCAUCCUUGUCGUUGGCUGCCCCUUGCACACAAGACAUUCUUCUAAGUUGUAUCAUUCAUCUUUAUUUUUGGUGCGCGUGCCUCUCUUUCCUCCCUCGCGCAUAUCUUGAUGUUGGAUAUCAACACUUGAGGAUCGUACCCUCAUCAUUUAGCAUGUCAUUACAAUCAGAUACUCACUCCGUCCCAUAUUAAGUGUCUCAAAUUUUUCCAAAUAUGGAUGUAUCUAUGCCUAAAAAGCGUUUAGAUACAUGUAAUAUUUCGACACUUAAUAUGGGACGGAGGGAGUAGGAUAGAAAGAUAGUCAGUCGAGAAAGCAGACAUAUAUCAAAGAUAAAAAGAAUUAAAACAUGAUGUCUUAGGAUAGAGAAUGUAACAAGAGAGCAGCUAUAUGAUUAUAUAUGCUUGUUUACCAUAUAUCUUAGUUGGAUAGGACAAAAAUCAAAGAAAAUCUUUGAAUGAAUUCUCCAGAUUGGACAUGCUAAUUAUGUUCUGCUUUGUGCCCAAACAGAAUGUCUUAGGGUAGUAACGAUCAAUUUUGGCACCAAAUAAUAUACAUGAUGGCAUUGCCAAUUCUAAGUAUACCAUUUUCUAAAUUAUUUUAACAGUCGUCCAAACAUGUUUGCUAGGAGUACCAUUUUAGAGCACCAUAGAAUGGUCUGGAUGGUUAAAGCGUGUACUUGUAGAAGUACACUGCUUUCCGUUAUUCUCAAAUAUAUUUUUCUAAUAUGGUCCAAUAGUUCAUCCAAUAAAAUAUACUUACUCGGUCCCAUAUUAAAUGAUUCAAAUUUGCCCAAAUAUGGACGUAUCUAUGCCUAAAAAGUGUCUAGAUACAUGUAAUAAAAGUCACUUAAUAUGGUACGGAGGGUGUAGUAAUUUAGUAAAAUCGAAGGUGAGACUUAACACAAAGAAUAGUCAAUAAGCUAUUUUGAGAUAAGACAGGAUGAGAAGACAAAUCUCAUACAAUGCAAAACAUGAAUAAACAAGUGUAGCAAAGAAAAAAUAGUGAAAAAAACCAAGAUACAAAAUUAGCUGUCAAUAAACUUGCCCCAUCACUUAUUUGUGGUGGUGCCAGGAAAAAUGUAGAAACCUGACGAGUUAUUCAGUCAAUAUGAUCAGAAACUUGGAGUUGAUCUUGGAGACGCAUGACUUGUAAACUGGGAACUCGAUCCACUUUAUAUAUGGUACGUCUACGUUGCCAGCUAGGGCUACACAACCACUACGUCAGUUUCUAUAUAUAAGAGGUUCUCACUUUGUCCUAACAUCUAGAAUAUCAAAUAAAUAUACUACGAAAAUAUAUAUCAUGAUGGUUUUGAUAAAACUAAUUUAUAGUCGUAAAUGUUGAUACAUUUUUUUUUAUAAAUUUGGUCAAAUUUAAAAAGUUCGACUUGGAACAAAGAUAUAACUUUACAUUUAGGAACGAAUGGGGUAUUCAUCUAGAUAUGGAAUAAGAAUGACACAUCGCAAGAGCCAGAGCUCAUACAUGCUUAUCGAUGUAAGUAUAUUGCCGCUACUAUUCGGUGUGAUCAAUCACAAUCUAGCCACGCUAAAAGCAAAUAAGUUUAAACAUGCAUUUUAUAGUGAUCUAAUUAAUAAAAUCAACCAGAGGAAACUCACUGGUGACUUAACAGUGGCAAAAAGAAGCCCCAAGAAACGCCAAACACUUCCAUAACAGGGUACAAAACUACAAAUAAUUGACAAUGCGGCUGCGUGGUCACUCAAGAAAGUCCCAAGAAGCAUAAAAAAUUCCCAUAAGAGGGCAUGCAAUUUUCUUUUGUAUAUCUUGUUGUAUCAUUAAUCUUUCCUAUAAAAGAGAUCAGCAAUUUAUUGUCAUUACUAUUUCAAGAAUAUUGGACUACGUAAAUCCUAGACAAAAUCCGAUCCACUCGUACUAAAGAAUCGGAACAUUUCAACUGAAAUUCAUCUUAUUUAUUACUCAUGAAAAGAUAGAGAAUGAGAGUGCAACUCGAAUCAUCUCAAAAACCAAUCGAAUAUUUCGUAUGAGUAAUUAGGGGUACAUCCGUUUUAAUAUGUCCCGUGUCAUGCAAGCUCAGGUAGGCUAGCAGCCUAACACCUAGUUUGUCUCAACAUCGGAGCAAAGCAACACUGCCCAUCUGAUUAGCUAGCUCGUUAAGCGGUUAAAGCUCAGUUCCGUAUCGGUUUGAGAGAUGAACAUGGUCUUGUCCGUGCGGGAGAGCUGUUUCUCUCCUGUGAUAUGCGUUUUGCUACAGUUACCGCAUUGUUUAACAAAACCAAAGGUUAGGUGCUACCGAGUGAUCUGCCAAAUAAGGAUGCAGAUGUAAGAAGGUGAGGACCACGCAUUGCUUCACGGGUUAACGAAAAUAUUUGCAACUCAGUGUUCAACGUCAGUUUAAAAAAAAAAUGUUCAACGUCACAGACGUCGUUUGGACUUUCUUUCUCCGUGACAUAUGCGCGUGCGUGCAGAGAGAGUUGUUCGCAGGCCCAGGCAGCAGCGAGGUGAGGUCGACUGGAUCCCGGCCGCAUAACGCUCACUCUCUCCUUCCCCUCCCAUGGCGCCUUCCCUUCCCAUCCCCACCCCACCCCUCAAACCCUAACUCCAAGCCGCAUCAAAUCGAACGGAACUUAAAUCAAAUCGACGAGAAAAAACGAACGAAAACCAAUGGAUCGCUCCCGCUCGAAGCGCGGGUAUCACUACGACGAGGACUCGCCUCCGCCUCGCUCCAAGCCCCGUUUCGACCGCCGUGGCGGUGGAGGAGGCCCGAACCCUAAUUCCAACUACCACCGCCGUGGACCCACUGGAGGCGGCGGCGGUUCUGACCGCCGUGGUGGCUUUAUUCCGUCAGACGGCGCGCCGCCCCCGCUCCCGCCCCCAGCACUUCCCCCUUCUUCCUCUGCGACGAUUGGGGGCGGUGGCCCUGGCGGCCCCGGCCAGGCCACAUCCUUCCGCAUCCUGUGCCCGGAAUCCAAGACCUACGGGUUCCCCGCCAGCUUCAUCAUCAAGGCGCAGGAUGACAGUGGCGCGAUCAUCACUAUACACGCGCCCUUCGCGGGGGACCCGGUCCGCGUCAUCGAGAUGGCUGACGGCGUGCCGCGCGACGUGGAUGGCCGCCCGCCCAUGUUCUCGCCGGCACAAGAGGCGCUCAUCAUGGUGCACCGGAGGAUCCUGGAAACGGAGCCUGACGACGGGGAUGAGGACGGCGAGUAUGGGCCCAGGGGCAAGGACGCCCGUGACCGUGGAAAGGUGACCACACGGCUUGUCGUCCCACGGCUGCAUGUAGGAUGCCUGCUUGGCAAGGGUGGCAAGAUCAUCGAGCAGAUGAGGUCCGAGACCAAGACGCACAUCAGGAUCCUGCCACGCGAUCAGAACACUCCGCGCUGUGUAUCAUUGUCGGAGGAGGUUGUACAGGUAUGUAUGGUGUCUGCUACAAUGUUGUAAAUAUAUGCUACAAUGUUGUAAAUAUAUCUAUUCUCGUUUUGGUAAGAGAGCAUUAACAUCGGUAUUUUGAGUGGAAUAUAAGAUAUGGCUCCACACCAUUCUAAACUGUUAGGGGGGCUUACAUAAGGAAAAAUAUUUGUGUUAAUGACAUACUCCGUAUUAUGCUAUGCGUUGGAGAAGACUUAGGCCUGUUCUGGUGAUCUUUUUACUCUAGGAAAUUAGAAAUCAUCAUUCCGUGGAUAAAGUAUUUGUGGUAAACAGAGUUUUGGCUAAUACAAUAAUUGCUUCAUAUGAUAUCAAACUGUAGUGGUGAUUAGGUAGCUUGGCUAAGUUCAUUAAUUAUUAGUCAUUUUGUUAGGAGAACAAUAAGCUGGACCCUACUGGUAGGUUUAUUGGACCGAUUUGCUGCUCUUUGAGAUUCUAUUGCUGUAGAGAAAUUGGACUGCUUUGGUAACCCAGUAUAUAUUCAGGUUUGAAUAAGCCGAAGGUGCCUAAUGGACUGUGUAGACUGACAUGUGCUGUAGUAGGAGGAUAAUCAUUGACAUAGCACAUGGAAAAGCAAAUUUGUUUCCUGAUCAAACUGAAUAUUCCCAGAUUCAAACAAUACUAGUAAAAACUAAGAAGCAUAGAGCUAAAUACAAGUCAACAGACAAAUGUUCAAACUACUAUUUUAAGUUAGUGAGGCAAUGCCUCAUCUUCUACAUACCUCGAGAUUGGGUUUUGAUGAUGGACCGCUAACCUUUUCCUCCUAGCUCUCAUAAUUCUGUUUAGUGAUCACCCUGAUUCCCAAGAUGUGUCCUGCUCAAGAAUUGUACUAGGCUGGUAGCUAUGCAUUUGUUCUGGAUCCUUUUCUGGUAAUGUUAAACUUAUUAAUACUGGCUUAAACACGAUACUCACUGUCUUCUAGGCAGUCACUCACUGAUGGUUCCAGACUCAUCUUUUCACACGUCAAUUUAAAUAUGAAAGUUUUGAAAGUUAUUUUAAUCUGCCAGGUACUUGCUGAAGAACUAUUCCGACAUCAUAUAUUCCUAUCAUCAUAUAAUUAUGAUUAUGAUUGUGGAUGCUUGACAGGGCAUAUUACCUUUUUGUUCCCUGACUUCGCUUUCACUGUAACUUGUGUACUAUUCCCAUGAUAUGUUGUUGCAGAUUGUUGGAGAAGGGAAUUGUGUUAAAAAGGCUGUAGCAAUCAUCUCUGACCGUCUAAAGGAAAGCUUACACCGUGAUCGUGGUCCCUUCCGUGGUCGCAAUUCACCGGAGCAUCGGAUUUCCCAGGCUGACGAAUAUCAGCAGAUGCCUGCAUAUGAAGAACCUUUUGCCCGAUUUGAUCAAAUUAGAAAUAACGGUAGUAUGGAGCCACCAGGAUACGAGUUUGAUUCAAAUGGUAGCAAGUUCAAUGAACAUCCAGAGUUUCCAUAUGAUGAAAUCAUAUUUCGAAUUCUUUGCCCAAAUGACAAGGCUAACAAUUUAGUUGGAUCACGUGAUGGAAUACUAGAGAUGUUACAGGUUGAAGUUGGUGUUGAUGUUAGGCUUACUGAUCUUGUUGUUGGAUCUGAUGAAAGGACCGUAAUCAUCACGUCGAGAGAGGUAAAUGACAUUACUCAUCACUCUACAUACUGUUCUGUAAUUCGAGUACUUAAUGAAGAUCUGUAUACACACCAACACACUGACCCGUGUCAGCCUGAGGGCUUAGACUACUCAUAGUGGGGGUAACUUAGGUAGUAACAUGAGAUGCCAACUAUGCAUUUUGGUGACAUGGCAUGGUAUUAAAUGAAGAAAGAGAGGGAGGUGGUAACUAGAUAUGUUACCAUAACAUCACACAAAACAAGGCAAGAUGAGUCUACAACCUAAUAAAUGACACAAUGCAUGACACCACAUAUAUGUUACUACCCACUAUGGAGGUAGUAACUUAGACUAGUACUCCCUCCGUUCCUCAAAGAUUGGCAUAUUAGCUUUCAUUAAGACAAGGCUUUGACCACAAAUUACUAUGUUAAAUUGUGGUUUAUAUGACAUGAAAUCACAAGUAUCAUGAAGUACUUUUGAUAACGAAUCUAGCGAUACUAAUUUUACGUCAUAUAAAAUACAUCUUGAUAUAGUAAUUUGUGGUCAAAGGCUUGUCUUAAUGAAAGCUAAUAUGCCAAUCUUUAAGGAACGGAGGGAGUAACAUAUACAUGUUACUACUCUAAGUUACUCCCCACUAUGACCAGCCUUACUGCUUGCCUGCCUUGCCCACUGAAAUAGGUAGGCAUUGCGGAAAGUUAGGAGUUAAGAGUGGUUACCUUAAAUAGUGAGUUUGGAUUCUGUAUCUACUUCAGUCUGUUAGGUAAUCCCUCUCUAUAUAUAUCGAUAAACAGCCAGACAGAAGCUAUCUCUUGCGUUAAAAAAACCCCGAAAAGACAGAAGCUAUCUCUAAUCUUCCUCCUCUCUUGGUCAAACUCUCCUGUUGGCACACUGCCCUUGGCUGAAGUGACACCACCCCGCUGCCGAAUCCCAUGGUACAGGACCUUGGUACAGGACCUUGGUACAGGACAUUGGAUAUGAGUUAUCUAUUCAAGGCAGUGAAGUUACAAUUUUUCUAAAUGCUGGAAUGGAAGGCAUGAUUAUGAACUUGAAAUUUCACAUCAUUUUGGACUUUUUCAAAAACAUUAGUUUUUCCUGUUAUAUAUUGGUAAAAUUAUAAGAUUACAAGCUUCUAGGAAUUAUUACUUAAAAAAUGAUCAUUUUUUCAGAUGGCCAGUCAUAACUCAUAAGUUAACAAUGGUCAAUACUGAAUUGUCAAAGAAUUUUGGUCUAGCAUACAUUCAAAAGUAGCAUUGGCGUAUUGCUCUUGGGAUGGUGGAAGUAAAUUGUUUCAUUGUUCACUAUAAGGCUGUAAUAUGUUUUUUUAACUGAACAGUAAAUGAGGCCCCAAAAUUAUAUUAUUAAAAAAAUGAAAAUAUUUACAACAAAGGAUUGGAAAUGUGCACAAAACAAGUCUGUUCACUAUAUUAUGGUAUCACGACAUGUUGAAGUCUACAUAUUUACGUAUGAAGUUAAAUUGCCUUAUACUUGCUUGUGCUUCGUUUUGAAGCAUGUGAAUAAAUAAACCGUAAGUCAGUUGGAAGUCUGUUGGUCUAUUACUUUGGAUCUCAGUUGGACUCAUCAGGUUCUGUGAUCAAAACAUGCCUGCCCAACAUAACACUUCCAAAUUUGAAGGACUCUGCAUGGCUUGUGUGCUUUUAGGAAGCUUGGUAAGCAUCUGUUAUACUGAUUCAUGAACAGAGUUGUGGGUGAGUUUAUUUACAGACUUGGAAGCUGGAACAAGAGUUGGGUUGCAGUUCUGUCGAUUUCUCAAAUUUUACAUUUUUAGCUUUGACAAACUACAUAAUCAGUAUCAACGGUCAACACAUAUAAAGGUUGCUUCUUCAGAUGGAUAGUCCAUUUUCUCCCGAAUAUGUUACUGAUUGUGCCACUAGUUUAAAGUUGUAUACUCGGUAUACUUACUAAGUUGCUAACUGGCAAUUACCUUGUUUGAGUGAUCUUGACUUGUUGCCUCAUGAGAAUCAACUAAAUUAGUUAGUUUUCCUUUUAAACCUGUUAAGGAAGUUUAGAAGUUGUCUAAAUUAAAUCAAACUAUGAUAUCUGAAAUAUCGAGCAAGGUUUCCCUUUCAAUAUCCCCACAAGAAAUAAUAUCUAACUGUUAUAUGUUAGCUAAUUACGCUGUUCAGUUUUAUCUGUAUAGUAGCCAAUCUUCAGAUCUGUGGAGCAACUCUAUUCGAGAAAAGGCUCCUCAUAUUAUUGGUUAAUUCACAGCAGUAUCUGCUUGCAUGUAACCUCACUUUGACCUUUUGUUGUGAGUUGUGACGCAUGUAUACUAUGAUCUCUGUUUAUUUUAAUUACUAAUUUUUGGUGUUGUUUGAUGUCUUAUGCACUUAUGAAAUGUAUAUACUUGUGAACGACUGCCAGUUUGGAAUUUUGCAUCAGCUAUCAUUUUUAACUGUAAUUUAGGAUCACUUUAACCCCUCACGUAUUUCAUUUUUAUAUUCCUAACAUAUCGUUGAUUAUGAUAUAGGGCCCAGACCAUGAGCUUUUCCCAGCUCAGGAAGCAUUGCUGCACAUCCAAACCCAUAUAGUAGAUCUGGGCCCUGACAAUGAUAACAUUAUCACAACAAGGUUACUUGUCCCUUCAAGUGAAGUUGCUUGCUUUGAGGGAAGGGAUGGAUCAUUAUCUGAUAUACAGAGACAAACUAGUGCGAAUGUACAGAUAUUACCAAGGGAGGAACUUCCAUCUUGCGCUCUUGAAUCUGAUGAACUCAUACAGGUUGGUCUUCAAUUGCAGUACACCUUCACUUCUGCUAUACAAGAAUUUAAACAGGUAGCGGAGAUCCAUCUGCAAACACCUACAUGGCUGCAUUAUAGAUUUUUCUCGAAAUUUUUGUCAAUUGUUUGAGAGGAAUGCAGAUUGGGAUUUCUUGGCCAUAACCUAGAAUGACCUUUGCCCAAAUACAGUGGAGUCUUGUUUCGUUCUUUGCUUUUUUAGCCGAGCUGGAGUUGACCUAUUUUUCUAGUUGUUUUUUGCUCAUCAGGGGGAUCUUUAGGUUGCACAUUUUAUCAUAAAGUUCUAUGCUAGUAGUCAUUGUUGCCGACACGAAUCCAACUUUUUUCUAUUGUUUAAGUUUGAAGUUCAUUGGCCUACAACAUUAUGUUUUUAUAGAUUGUUGGAGGGAUUAGAGCUGCUCGAAGUGCUCUCAUGCAAGUCACUACGAAAAUACGGAGUUACAUAUACCGUGAGAUGUCUGUUCCUAACCAAAUUGCCAGCAUUAAUGUACAUGGAUCCAUUCCUCCAGCAAAUGGCUCACCUCGAGGAAUAUACCCUGGAAAUGACCUUCCAAUGGCUAUCUACCAGCAAUCACAACAAAUGACAACUUCAUGGCACUCAAAGGUAUUGGUGAACCUCACUGCCUGCCUUCAUCCUUAUGUACAGACGUUUAUAUGCCUCUGAAGUAUUCUUACCACUGAUUUCUCUUCUUGUCACAUGUUCCACAUAGACCUGCUGUCUUACAAUCAUGGCCAUCUUCUAUCUGUUUCUUUCGAAAUGUGGUUGGUUGUGCCACAUACAUAAAUUGACUGUUAAAUAUCACAAUCAGUGGGUUAUAAACUUAACAAAACAGUUACCUAAAUGGUUAAUAAUCAUGGGAAAUAUGAUCUGAAUAUUUGUACUGUAUGCAAAUAGAGUUAUAGUGCAUGUAACUGCUCUUGUAGUUUUAUUUCUGGAGUCUGAUGAUUAUGUUUGGACCGUACAUUUGGUAUGUUCAGGAUAGUGGAGGUAGUGCAAGUGGAUCAUUUGAGCAAGGGAGCAACAUUAAUGAUGAUAUAAGGAGUACUAUAAAACGGUAAAUUUGGGUCUUCAGCGCUAAUUCUUCUAUCUUGUUGAUCCAUGACGACCUUACUCUUUUUCCAUCAGAUUUGCUGUUCCCUUAGUGACUAGAAGCACAUUAGAAGUUGUCAUACCAAAGAGUGCUGUUGCAAGUCUCAGUAUGAGGGCUGGAAGCAAGCUUGCCCAAAUAAGUGAGGUGCUAUAUAUCCUGAACUUUUUAGUGAAAUGAAGGCAGACAGUUCCAAACCAUUCUAACUUUCUAACCUCUGUUGGUAACAGAUGUCUGGUGCCUCUGUCACACUUGGUGAAGACAGACCUGGAGUCAUGGAAAAAGUUGUUCGAAUAUCUGGUACCCCUGAGCAAGCCGACAAAGCUCAGAGCCUGCUUCAGGGGUUUAUACUUAGCAGUGAGUAUUUCUCUUCCUGUCCCUCUAUCUGUAUUAUUCCUUUAUCCUCUGCACUUUGAAAAAUAUGUAACUCUUAUCUCCUUUCCACUGCCCAGUCCAAGAUGAUAUUCCUUCAGGGUAACGGAGUUAUUGCUGCGGCUUACACACCACCUGUUCAGUAGGUGUCAUUUGUUCAAUUUAACCUUGUUUUAUGAAUUUCCUGCGUAUUCAGGUGUAGUACAUGAGUUCUUAUGAGGUAUUUAUUUUUUAGUUUGUAUGAAUUUUCCCUGAUUAGAUCUUGUAUCUUUAUGUGCAAAGUGUUCCUGUACGAUGUUCUCUGAACUUUAUCUAUUUAAGCUGUUGCGUUAUAUUAAGUAGCGAAAAUGAUCGGGAUGGACUAUUGAAAAUGAUUACCUAAAGCACACUAUGUACUAUUGAAGAUUAUUUCUACCAAUAUCCCUUUCGAUUUGUAGGAAAAUUACAUGAUACCUUCCAAUAUAACCCAAGAUGGCACCUGAUCUCAUUCCGACUUUUCCUUUUGAAGGGAGAACCCUCUAGGUGCACAUCCGUACCUGCUUGUGUGCUUUUAUCUCGUGCUGAUGAUAUGCUAAAUACAUUUGGAAUUUAUCCAAAUAUAUUAUUUGGAACUGCUGGUUGUUUAAAGGCAUGCUAUUUGCUAGUGAAACAAAUCAUGUUAAAGCCUGAAGAAACUAGGCAGGCUCUCAGAUCUUGAUUAUAUGUAUAUAUGAAUUAGUCAUAUGUCCAGUUUACCUGCUAAGAACUGGUUCGGUUUUCCCCCCUAAUCUAGUAGAAAUGUCGUCAAACAUAAUGUAUGGAUUUAUGCAUGGAGUUGCAAUGAUGUACUAGCCUAUCCCAACUUGCUUGGGACAAAAGGUUUUGUUGUUGUUGUUGUUGUUGUUGUUGUUGUUUUACAGAAGACCGUAUCAUCUAGCAACAUAGUACAGGAUAAACCUAAAAGAGCUUAGGCUUUGUCUAUUACAAGGAGAGGCAUCUUCUAAUGAGAAGAAUCGGUACAAGUUAGAGAAGGAACGUUUGCAGCAUUCUUUUUGCCCUGUGUGCUGGAUGGUGAGCAACAGUGUUCUUGUCCCUAGAAACAUGACGAAAUGAAGCCUCCUUGGGAGUUGUAAGGGCAAUGAUGUAGUAAGGGUGGAGUUGUAAGUGCAAUGAUGUAGUAAGGGCAUCUCCAAUGGUUGGUACGAAGCAGGUACUUCUCAUAUGUGGAGAGAAAGAAAAAGAUAGUACCAGUUACUUGUAGAAGCAACAGAUUUCUACGCAGGUACGAAGAACAAAAAGAGAAUGACAUGCGGACCCAUUAGAAAAAAGAAGUGAAUAGAAAAGUGAAAGAGGAGAGAAAAACCAUGGAAUAAAAAUUAGUAACAGCUUGUUGAAAAUGCCCUAUUUGCUCCGCUGAUGUUCCGGUGUCCUGGAGACUGCAAACGUCACCUGCCUUGCAAUCCCUCCAUGCGCAGCUUCAACCCUGGAAGAUUCAAUGCUUCCAGAAGGCUUGCUGCAAGACACAGGCCAGAAGCAACCCUGAAGAGGUGAGGACCCUGGGGGUGGAGAUGGCUUGAAUUUGUGCAUCCACCUAUGACCACUGAAAAUGCCAAUGUUGGCUGGAACGUGUAAAGCAUGAAGAGUAGAGAGUUUCCAAGCUGCGUCUGAGAAGAUUAGAAGGCUAUCAGUGAAGGAGACCUGUUCAUAAUAAUUCUAAAUGUUAGGCGCUAAAUUAUGAGGACGGGGCAGGUUACAGCUAGCAAGGCCUUGAGCAUUAUGGUGAACUUGCAAAGGAAAGCUAAGACUUCUAUUGAAUAAACAAUUAUUUCUAGAUUUCCAAAGACACCAAAGAAAAGUGGAAACAUUUUGAAUAGAAGCAUGAGCGUGGCCAGAAGGAGGUUAUGGUAGGAGAAAUUUAAUUGUUUUGCUCGACAGAAACCUCCUUAUGUACCAGGCUAGGCUUCCUCUGAAAUGGGGCAUAGGAGGAGGUGAACGUCAUCUUCAAUCAAGCAUCAUCUGGAGCAAGAUUUGUUAUCAUGUUUGAUGAUCGUACAUUCUAUUUUACCUGUUGGAAGGGCUCUCCUGAUGAGGACCCAUGCAAAUGUUCGAAUACUGGACAUCAGGGUUUUUAUUCAAGAUCGUCGACUUUAGCAGGGUAGCUGUAAGGAGGAUUCCGAAAGAUAUGAGAUGCCCUUUGGGUGUCUUUUAUUAAAAAGAAGGAUCACUCCAAACAUCCAAGGGAAGGAUCACUCCAAAUGGAGUUGUUCCCAUCCGCAAGUUAGUGGUAGAGCUGCAAAAUUGUGACCCCCGGGGUACCCUUUGAUCCUACUUAGUUCAACCAAAUGAACUAAAAUUUUAGAACGACAUAACUUUUUGGAAAACUAGUUCAUUGGUUUGAACUAAGGAGGGUCAAAGGGUACCCUAAGAGUCACCAUGUUUCACCUCUAGUUAGUGUGGAUGCCCAAAAGGCUUUUUGGGAAAAUAGAAUCUUGAAAAUAUUUUGACCUGUGGAUAAGAGCAUAUUGAGUGUUGGGCUUGUUUGCAAGGCUCCAAGCUGCCACAACCAAAAGGUUCUCUUGUUCAUGCCAUGCAUGUCACGAACUCCGAGUUCACCAUGUUUCUUAGGGUAACUCCAGCGGGGAGACCCAUUUGUGUUCGUUUGGGCCAAACGGAUUCUCCCAUCCACUUUUGGGUCUGCCACUGCCUCAGCGAGGACACCCACUUGGUUCGUUUUAUUACUCAUGGACAUGCGCAAUGCAAAAACGACGUGCGCCACGACCAAACCCAGAGCAAAUUUGUGUCGGAAAUGGGUCGUGUCCGGACCAAAAAGCGGAUUUGGAUGUCCAUUUUGCCCAAACGGACAAAAUGGAUGGCCCCACUGGGAUGGCUUGCAAAUGCCAAUCCAAGCCCAGAGACACAUGCGCUCUCCUCCUUACCUAACACCCCGUCUGUCAAAAAAUUCUAAUAAUAGCUAUAAGUUUUUGGAAAAAGAAUAUAGGGAUGGAAGAAAAAUUUGUGAGAAGUUCCCUGGCAUUGAACCCAUUAAGUUUGUUUUUGAACUUGUCAAUGAUGAAAUCAUAGGCCGAGGACCUGUCUGUCCAGAAGAAUGAGAUGCUCCAAAUGAAAACAGUGACAUUAUCCAAAUCUUGCACGGGCAAAAUGUUGUUGAUCGGGGCAAUAUUAUAUGAGUAUCAACUUUCUUGCUACAGAGGAUCGCAGCUCCGGUUUGGAGUUAACCGGAGUUAUGACAAAAAUCAGCAAGAAUAUCAUUAAUAGUAGUUGCCUCAACAGUGUUAGUACGACUGCAGAUACGUGAUAGCCUCGAGGGUGUCCCGAUCUUUCGAUGAGAUACCUAAUUAUCGAUUUGGUAAGAGGUGACGUUGACGAUCCGACUACAACCUUGGAGGCAGCGCUUUAGCGAUCGAUACACCAACUCCAGAAGAUUAUUGAUCCCGCGGGGGCACGAUCAACCUGACCACGAAGGUCUUUGUUCCUGCAAGCAAUCGAAGAACAAGCAAGAACAAGAUGAAAAGUAAUCUGAAAUUGCGAAUAGGAGAUAUGAAGGUUCACGAAUCUGAAUACUCAAUAUAGUUGGAGUCUUGAUGACGGUAAAACAGGUGGUCUAACCGACACACGCGAUUACAUGAAAGUAGCAAAGGCUAAAACUUUAUCUAAUCAAAACCCAAUGCUUCAUGGGGGGGGCUCAUGGGGUUUAAAUAGUGAUGUGGGUCGAGGUGGCCCAAUCUUUCGAUGAGAUUGAUAACUCUCGAUUUGGGUAGGAGGUGACGUUGACGAUCCGACUACGGCCUAGGAGGCAGCGCCUUAGCAAUCGAUACACCAACUCCAGAGGGUUAUUGAUCACGCGGGGGCACGAUCAACCUGACCACGAAGGUCUUUGUUCCUGCAAGCAAUCGAAGAACAAGCAAGAACAAGAUAAAUAGCAGAUGCAAUCUAAAAUUGCAAAUAUAUUAUAUCAAACCAAUGUCUCAACGAGACGAUAAGUUGGAGUCUUGACGACGGUAAAACAGGUGGUCUAACCGACACACGCGAUUACACGAAAGUAGCAAAGAUGGCUAAACUUUAUCUAAUCAAAACCCAAGGCUCCUUAGGGGGGCUCAUGGGGUAUAUAAAGGAGGAGGGAGAGAUAUUUUCGUCCACCUUGAGUAAGGAGGCCGAAAUCCAACUCUAUCUCUAAGUUUCCUAACAAACUACAACUCUUUAGGAAACAGAAAAACAGAUCCGUCAGCUUGUUUUGUCCGUCACGGUCAGCACGAGUCGAAUCUCUUGAUUGGGCCAGAUCCCUUGGAAAGGUCUUGUAAUUACCUUUCCAACAAGUACUUGUUUGCUUGAUUUGGACUCCGGAUGCGGCCUGGGUGAUUAAAACAAAUUCGGGUCUCCUGGCAGCUCGGACCCGGAGCGGAUUCAACUUUAAUUCGUGAUAUCUUUCUCUAGCAAGCUCCGAAUCAUGUGCCGUUUGAUUUGUUGGAAAGUACACUUGAAAUCCUUCCUGUCAGCUGUAUGAAUGCUUGAUUCUUGUUGGCCCUCCCGUUCGCCUCCAUCGUAUCUCAUCUUGACAUUGGACAUGAAAAGCUCGACAAGAUGCCUACGUAAUAAAACGAGACAAGAUAGUAGUAGCUCCGCCUCUUCAUAAAUAUGACAAUGAAAAAAAUUACUACCUGAAUUCACCUGAUUAUAAAUCUUGUCAAAUAUUAUAAAAUUGAGGGUACCAAAGGUCGUAUCCAUGGUUAGCAUGUCCAUAUCAUCCUCCCUUUCUUGAAAGGAAAACCGUCCUCGGCGUCGUUUGUGCUGUAAAGAGACUGACAAAAUAGACAAAGUGUGUGCAUGGUAUAUGUAUAUGUCAUCCAUCUUUAUACAUCUUCUUUCUUGCACAACUAAUCUUUUAUAACAAAGUUUCAUGAGAUAAUUGUAAAACAAUCAUGAUGAAUAACAUUCCAGCAAGAAGAUUGACAAUAUUGUUUGCAUUUAUAAGCGAAACGAUUUCUUGUAUUUGGUUUGCACCACCAUUGCACCAUCCCAACAUUGGAGAAUAAUAAUGAAUAGUAUCCAAAUUAGUUACUACAAUAUGCUGAAAUUUAGAGCAAGUCAAAGCACUAAUAUUCAAACAAGCAUGUAAAUAACUAUUUGGCAAAUAAUCAACACAUAUAUUGGAGGUCCUAUCAAAAUGAUUAAGCAUGGUAAUGCAAAUCUCAUGCACCAAAAUGUUAUUGUUCACAUCAUGUUGUCCAAUUAAAUGAAUUGUGUAUCCAUGAACAGCAAAAGAUUUCGAAAUUGUUAACUCACACAGUUUAUCCAUUGCAUGCGACAAAUACAUGGGACUAUCAAGUGCAAUAUAACACAAAGAAUUAAUAGGUGGAUCGUUCUCAAUCACUCCAUGUGUAAUUAACUCGACACAACCUAAACCAAAUUUAUCUACAUCACAUGUUUCUCCGAAAACAUUAGUUAUUUCCUCACAUGAUUCAUUCUCAUCAAUAUCAAAAUUAAUAUGUGCACUCAAAUCAUUAGAAGAAUUAAUUUCAGCAGUAUGUGCACUCAAAUCAGCAUGUAAAUCAACAAUUUCACAUGGUGCAGAAAAUUCAACGGGUAUCUCAUUUAUUUCAUCACAUGUCAUAUUUUGUUCAGUAACACAAUCAUCUUUAUCAUUACCUUGUAGGCUCAACACGUUUCUUGUACACCUUCUCUCCAAUUUCCUCUCCGCUUCACGAGCAAGAUUAAGCAAACACAAUAGAGAGUCGUAUUUUCCGUAUUCAAUUAUGUAAGAAAUAUCAAAGUUAAGCCCACAAUAAAAUCUAUCCAUUUUUCUUUGUUCGGUUUCAUCUAAACCAAACCGCAAUCUUAUAACUUGGAACUCAUGGUAGUAAACAUCAACAGAUUUAUCAUCUUGUGUCAAACGUCGUAGCUGUGAGUGCAAGUUAUUAGCAUAAUUAAAAGGAACAUAUUUUUCUCUCAUGAUUUUCUUCAUACCAACCCAAGUGUGGGGAAUUUUCUUUUCUCUAACUAUCUCAGUCCACCAUGAUAAUGCAUCAAAACGAAUUCUACUACUAGCAAUUUGGACCUUACGACUAUCUAGUACAUGGAAGCAUGUGAAUUGCUCAAUUAGAGCUAUUUCCCAAUCAAUAUAAGCUUCAGCAUCAUUAUUUCCAUCAAAGAAAGGUCCAAAACAAUUAUUGACAUUACAAGGAUUGCGAUAUACCUUUUCCUUGCCAAUGUCAACAAGAGACGAGGAGGAUGGAUGUGGUGAAAAACGCUCAUGUCGGUCACUUGAUAGCAUAGGCCUAUUUUCCAUCCUUCGUGUAAGUCCUGUCAUGGUUAGUAUAAGACAAGAAACAAAACACAGGAAUAUGUUCCUAUCAACUAAUAGGAUGUGGCUACAAGUCGCUCAACUCUCAAGCUAAAAAUCAAGUUCUUACAAGUUCUUACCAUGCAAAACAGGAAGGUGAUGGCCAGCGGCGUAACCAACACCUCCGGAGAUUAAAUGUAUCGAUGCCUCGGUAACAAACCAACCUAGGUGUAGAAUCUGUGGAGCUUGGAGACUUUUGUGAGUAGCAAGGAAUAGCAAAUAAUCAAAUCAGCAAUGCAAAGUUGAAAAUAUGCUCAAUAAUGCUAGUCCUAGCUGCUGGAGUCGAUAAGAACGAAUUACAGAAAUAAUCUAACCCUAGAUACUGAAGAAGGUACGAUAGAAAGAUGGCACAACAAGUAAAUCCCUGGGAUUUUUUUUUCUUUUUUUUUCUUUUUGUGGCCUUCUGUUUGGCUUCUUAUUCUUUUCUUCUUCUUUUUUUUUUCUUUUUUAACCCCAGAAACUCACGCAAAAGAAGGAUCGGAAAACUGUACGUCGGUCUGUCGAAGAACAGCAAAGGCUGCAGUAAGAAAAAUUCAGAAAAAUAUGGAAAAAUAUGGGUUUGGAAGGGUAUCGACACAAGCUUUUCAGCAAGGCAAGAUCACUCAAAACGGAUGUCGGACGGUAGAGAAAACUGAGAAACACCGGGCUGCAGCGACACCGGAAAAUGGAUGCAGAAACUUGGAAGCUCCGAAAGUCCACCUUCCAAACCGAAUUUAAGGGUCAAAGUGCAGGGCAAAGCCCUGGAUAUUUCCUGAUGCGCCUCGUCGUGAGCUUUCCAAAAAGUCCAAGAACGUCCAAAUCCGAGUUGGUACGCAAAAGAUACGCCCGUUUUACUGAAGACGGGUCAAACCAACCCGAAACUAAAAUUCUACUCGGACUCGGGUCCGAAACUGACUCGAACUCUUUCUCUUUUUUUUUCGUUUUUUUUAUUUCUUUCUUUCCUUUUUUUUUUCUUUCCUUUCUUUUUUUUUCAACUUUCCAAACAACUUGAUCUCUAAACAAAAUUCGAUCUAUGAUGAAACACUUUCCAAAAGCACUCCUUAUAGGACUCGGACUCGAACUCGCGGCUGAAAACUAUUACUUGCCGACUCGAUGUAGAACUCAAAGAGGGACACGGUGUAGGACUCGAAGAGGGACACGGUGGAAGAUAUGGUGGCGGCGGGAGAUUAUGGCGGUGGUGUGGCAGGAAGUUUGGUGGCGGAAGAUUGAUGAAGGAAACCUGCGUCACACGAAGAACAAGAAAACCAAAAGCAAGUUCGAUCUAGUAGAAAAAAUCUGAAAAACGAUCCAAUCUAAUCCAGCAACUCGACACGAUUAAUGCAGCAAAGAUUCAACAAUGCAAAUACUAAAGUGAAAAUUGCAAGGCUCGGAUUGGUUCUAGGACAAGGUAACUAAUUCUAAUUUUUGUUUGGCUUUUACUGGACGAUACGUAAAAACAGAUCUAAACUACGGAUAAACUGGAAAAAUCUCACUGAGCAACCUUAAGCUCUGAUACCACGUGAUGUGGGUGAAGGUGGCCCGAUCUUUCGAUGAGAUUGAUAACUCUCGAUUUGGGUAGCAGGUGACGUUGACGAUCCGACUACGGCCUAGGAGGCAGCGCCUUAGCAAUCGAUACACCAACUCCAGAGGGUUAUUGAUCACGCGGGGGCACGAUCAACCUGACCACGAAGGUCUUUGUUCCUGCAAGCAAUCGAAGAACAAGUAAGAACAAGAUAAAUAGCAGAUGCAAUCUAAAAUUGCAAAUAUAUUAUAUCAAACCAAUGUCUCAACGAGACGAUAAGUUGGAAUCUUGACGACGGUAAAACAGGUGUCUAACCGACACACGCGAUUACACGAAAGUAGCAAAGAUGGCUAAACUUUAUCUAAUCAAAACCCAAGGCUCCUUAGGGGCGCUCAUGGGGUAUAUAAAGGAGGAGGGAGAGAUAUUUUCGUCCACCUUGAGUAAGGAGGCCGAAAUCCAACUCUAUCUCUAAGUUUCCUAACAAACUACAACUCUUUAGGAAACAGAAAAACAGAUCCGUCAGCUUGUUUUGUCCGUCACGGUCAGCACGAGUCGAAUCUCUUGAUUGGGCCAGAUCCGUUGGAAAGGUCUUGUAAUUACCUUUCCAACAAGUACUUGUUUGCUUAUUUUGGACUCCGGAUGCGGCCUGGGUGAUUAAAACAAAUUCGGGUCUCCUGGCAGCUCGGACCCGAAUCGGAUUCAACUUUAAUUCGUGAUAUCUUUCUCUAGCAAGCUCCAAAUCAUGUGCCGUUUGAUUUGUUGGAAAGUACACUUGAAAUCCUUCCUGUCAGCUGUAUGAAUGCUUGAUUCUUGUUGGCCCUCCCGUUCGCCUCCAUCGUAUCUCAUCUUGACAUUGGACAUGAAAAGCUCGACAAGAUGCCUACGUAAUAAAACGAGACAAGAUAGUAGUAGCUCCGCCUCUUCAUAAAUAUGACAAUGAAAACAAUUACUACCUGAAUUCACCUGAUUAUAAAUCUUGUCAAAUAUUAUAAAAUUGAGGGUACCAAAAGUCGUAUCCAUGGUUAGCAUGUCCAUAUCAAAUAGGAGGGGAACUAGGCGGUUUUCGGCCAGACCCUUGAGGGACUCUGAAACGGCCUAGGAAUCCUCCUAAAACACAACGAAAACAUCUAAAAAUUGGCUGGACCCUAUUACAUGGCCUUAGGCCCAAUAAAGUAAGGUUAUAACCCUCAUCUUUGGCCCAUAGAUACCCAUUGGAGGGGGAAUCCUCCACUUGGCCGAAAUCCCAUUGAUGAAGAGGAUGCGGCCUUCUUCUCAUCUCUCGUUAUGGCGAUUUCAAUGUUCUGAAAUCAUCACUUGAGCUAGCUCCCGCCACCUUGCUGCCACCUCCAUGGUUUGCUGUCCAACCCUGAUCCUUGAGGUGCAAGCUAGGUCCUUCAUUUCUAAAACACAUAAAAGAACCCAUCUUAGGCAGCAGCAUAUUCUCAUGAAUAUUAAAUGAAGUACUGAGGAACGAAAGUACCUGAUAAUUUAGUUGUCGUGCACGAGCUCUAAUAAUUGGUCCAUGUAUCUCCGGUACUUGAGGUGUAGGUGCUGUAGGGGCUGUGGUUGUAUCAUUAGUUGGGAUGUCCUCAUCAAUACGCAAGUCAUCCGCGAACAUUAGAAUGGAUGGGGGCUAAGCAGGGCCCAAGAAUAACAUAUGGAGUACUUUAACCACAAAAUCUUGUUGAUUCCAAGCAAAUAACAAAUGUACUCCCUCCGUCCAACAAAAGAUGUCUCAAAUUUGUUAAAAUUUGGAUGUAUCUAGACAUGACUUGGUGUAUAGAUGGAUUUAAAUUUAGUCAAAGUUUAGACAUCCUUUGUUGGACGGAAGAAUAAUAAUUUCAAGUGUAAAAAAAUCACAUUAUUCAUUCCUUUAAUGUGCUUGUAAAUUUUCACCGAAAAUAAAGUAAUUUGAUGCCGAACGGAAAAUUCACAUAGAGAAACAAACAACAGCUUAACGAGCCACGGGGCUGAGUAGCACGCUUGAGGGACAAAGGCAAAGCAAAUGGUGCAAACAUGAGGCGGACCGGAGAAGAGCAACAUAGGAUCGUGCAUGAGCGGGGCUGGCCACCAGCAUGGCUACCGGCAAGAGUAUCUCCAGCCGCGUCCCCUAAAGGCCCCCUAAACUAGUUACGGGGGCACCGGCGUAAAAAACCUGACCCAGUCCGCUCUCCCAAAAUAAAAAAGUAGCCGGCCUGAUGCAUCAAUUUAGCCGGCGCCCUCAAUCCACUCCCUUCUCACAGGGGGCUAGCGGGGGCGCCGGCUGAAGCUGACAAGUAGGGCAUGCCACCACUAUCAGUGAGACAAACUAAAUUUGGGGGAGCGAUGUUUGAGGGUGUGGCUGGGUGCCGGUUCCACCCCAAACAAAUUGUUGCGCUGGCGCCUUCCCAUAUGACCAUGCGCCAGAUGAAAUAUAGGGGGCCGGAUGAAAUAUUCUCUGAGAGGCUGAAGGUGAGAUUUAAUUUGGUUUAUUCUUUAUUGUUUACCUGGUGUGUGGACCUGUGGUGUGAGUUGGAUCUUCAUGUGCACAGACGUAUACCACCGUGGCAAAUGAAGCAUCACCAUCACAAGUGAGGAAGCCGAAGCGCAUCAAUUUCGAAAAAGAAGAGCGCCCUCAAACUCUCCAAACACCCGUCUUCCUCAACCUAUAACUGUCAGUCGGCUAGAAAAUCCUACAAUCAUAUCCAUGCCUGUUCCUUGUGCAUACGACAACGACAACAAGGAGAAGGAGAAUAUGGAUGAUGGUUGACCUAAGAUUGUUGGGUUGCUGACAGCAAGGUUUCAUCUCUGUCUUUUCACCACCUCCCGAGCCACUGAUGCAUUCACAAGACCGAGGAAAAGAGGUGGAGGGUGAAACAUCUCCGGCGGUGGCCUAUUAAGAUUGCAAAAAUGUUAAGGUCCUGAAGUCCAAUUUGACUUCCUCACAUGCUCUGUGUAGGCUCCAUUUGCAAGCAUAGCAUAGGACACCACGGUGGCUAAAAUCGUUCGGUGUGAACCAAGAAGCCAAUUAGGUGCAUUUUCUUUCUAAUUUUGAGAGUGAAUUCCAGUUUUUACCUCCCAUUUUUACUUUUUGUGUCAGAAGUGUGCUUAAAUGAAGUAAGUUUGUAAUCCGUCCGUCCCAUAUUAAUGUCUCAACAUUGUCUAGACAUGCAUGUGAUAUGGACAUGACUACCUUGGGUACGACCGAAUUUACUGCACGCAGAUAUAUUUCUUAGGUGGUUUUUAUUAAUAAUUAUAUAAUAUGUUAUUAUUGUAUCAGGAACAAAAAUACGACACCUCCGGUUUUCAUAUGCAGGAUCACCGAAGACCUAUACAAGCCGCCUGUUAAAAUAGGAAGAACAGUCUACCAUACAUGUGAACUUGUAUGCGUACACAUAUGCUGAAGUGGUUCAAAUCAAAAGGAAGUCAUGGGCACGUCCAAGAUCAAUUAGUGGGCCACAGGCCCAUGAGUGUUGCAGGCCACACACAAUGCAUGUAGGGAUGCAAACGGGAUCCCGCGAAAGUCCCUCUUCUAGUUCAUUUUUCAAAUCUUCUAUUCAAAGUUUUGCUCAAAAUUUGAAUAGGCGAUUUGAGAAUUGCACUAGAAGUGAGCCUUUCGCGGGAUCCCGUUUGCAUCCCUAUGCAUAUGUAUAAAUUUUUAGUCCAUCACGUCGUCACGAGGAAAGGCCCAGCUCCAUCUUCAAACAGCCAAGACUUCCAACGGCGUUCGUCUCUGUGGUUGUCUAAUAAAUUGAGGUUGCGCGCUUAGGGUUUGACUGGGUUUUGUUGAAUUGUUUAGCUUUGCUACAAUAUACAGCUGCGAGAUGUGUAGGUUUAGUCCAUCACGUCGUCACGAGGAAAGGCCCAACUCCAUCUUCAAACAGCUAAGACUUCCAACGGCGUUCGUCUCUGUGGUUGCCUAAUAAAUUGAGGUUGCGCGUUUAGGGUUUGACUGGGUUUUGUUGAAUUGUUUAGCUUUGCUACAAUAUACAGCUGCGAGAUGUGUAGAUUUACCGUCUUGUUCAGAUCAUCAGUGGAACCCCCACUUAUCGUGCCUAUAUUAUCAUCUGCAAUUUCAGAUUGCAAUUUAUCAUAGUUGCUGGUUCUUCGAUUGUCUGCAGGAACUCGAACCUGGUUGUUCAGGUUGAUCGUGCCUACGGCAAGCUCCAUAACCAUCAUGCAUUUUUACGGUACCCAGUACUCCUUAUUGAGAGGAAGGAGUACCAUUCAUCUGACCAUCCAUGUAAAAGGGUAGUUCAGUCUUUUCAUUUUACUCUUGAGGUUAUCCAUCUAAUUUCCAAUCAAUUGUUAAUUGAAAAACUCUUUGUCUCGAUCAAACGCAUGUCGCCGCCGCCGGCGCACUUGCCCUGGUCGUCUCCAUCAAGGGCGUGUUGCGCGCGUCUGCAUCCUCCUCCUCGUCCCCUGUGCCGCCGCUGUCUUCCAAAUCACGAGCGACUGCGUCAUCCUCUCCAUAAAUCUUUCUGUACACGCCGCAUCCCCCUUGUAUCCCAUACUGCAGCCGCUGCUGCAUCCCCAUUAUUUCCAUUGUUUGAUUGAAUUACUACUAGUCGGUGGACCUCCAGCAAGGAAUUUGAGAUGUAAAUUAAAAGUUCUUCCAUGCAUUUAAAUUUGCGAUUUAAUUCUUCUGAACCAGUUCUUGUAAUCAUGUAUCACCGAGUUGUUCCUAAUUCUCAGCCAUCUAUGCUGACACGAGCUCUCCUGGCCUCCGCGCCGGUGGCCGCAAGGGCCUGGGGCCAGGCCACCAAACUUAGAUGUUUACUCCUUCCGGGCGAUCCGGCAAGGAGACGCCAUGCCUGCAAAGUAAACAUAGGGUUUCAGACAAUUUGAGAUGGAACUAUAUGUUCCUCUCAGAUCAUCGGACUUAUAUGUGAACAAAACAAAAUUGCCAUAGUGUCUCCAUAUAUUGUUAUUUAGAUGACUUCUUUUUAAGAUAUUCGGAUUACCAUUUUACCCCUAUACUCAUGCUACUCCUCAGUUUUUUUAGGUACUCCCUAUACUUUCAUUGGAGUACCGUUCAAUAGCAUCAGUCGGAUCGAGGCAGAUGAAUGGCUCCUAUUUAUUUCGGGGCACCGUAAAAGAGCUUUAACCAUCGGAGAUUGGUUUAGCGAUUGCUUGAGUGUAUCGUCGAGUACGGUAUAGUCGGAUCAUCAAGGUCAAAAUCCACCAAAUCAAUAUUUAUCCCCACUCUCAUUGAAAGAUCGGGCCACCGGCACAUCAAGUAUCAAAGCUAAAAUUGAUUGGUGAGAGAUUUACAGUUUUGAUAUAUCAGAUUUUUUUUAUUACCUAUAGUCCAACAAAAAGCCUACAAAAAAAAUAGUAGAUUGGUUCAUCCGUUUCACCUACCUUUCUUUAGCCGUAGCAAUCUUUUGCAUCUAGUCUUUGGUUGGUUGAAUUUUUGUUGCAUUCAUCCUAGAAUGGUGCUGGUUUAGAUUGGUAUGAGAGAAUAACCGUCUACUAGAUCACUUUUUUUUUAUUUCCUAUAAUCUCGACCACCUCACGCCAUGAUAUUGUCGCACCAGUGGCCCACGAGGUCCCACUGAUGCCGGACGCAUGGGUCGCAGCCGCAGAAUCCCCACAAGGAUGGCUCCCCGUGAAAGGCAAACCCGGGAAGCCUCUCAUCCCCGAGACGACAGUCAAGGGGGUUACCGAAAGACGCUCACUGGCAAGACCAUUGGAUUAGAGAUCGAAAUCUCUGACACCAUUGACGACGUCAAGGCCAAGAUCAGGAUAAGCAGAACAUCCACCCCAACGGCUACCCGGGAGGCGUUAUUCCGGCAAGCUGGCAGCACGAUGCCCCCACAGCUGGCCAGGCAACGAUACUGGGGUGCUUCCGGACUACUAGAGCUUGGGCCCGCAGGUGGGGCCAACGGAACAGUGAAGACAGCAACGACAGUGCAUUUAAUGCACCGACAGGAGUCACAUCGGCAAGGCUAGUCUUGCUCAGCAAGUCUAGAGCGGCUACCGUAAGGCUCAUUUUAUUUACCACGUACAGUGGCCUGGGCGCUGCAUGAAGCCCAGCGAGGAUCAACAGUAGGGUAAUUCUUGUGGCGAUGACACGCGUGUAGUUAACGUGCAUGUCACGUUGCAUGCAUCGGCACCUGUGGUAUCCCCUUGGCUAUAAAAGGAGAACCAAUGCCACCGGUUGAAGGGUUCAAGUUCUAAUUGGAGCAUAAGGUAGUUCAGCAUCCGUCCAAGUAGCAAAAUCCCUUAGGGGGACAAGUAGCAAAGCCCGGGAACCCUCUCGGGAACCUGUACACGCUCAAACUUGUGAAUACAACCAAAAGCAGAACCUAGGGUGUUACACCUCCGGGUGGCCCGAACCUGGGUAAACUCACGUGCCGCCACUUCAUGUCUUUCGUCACGCGGACGAUCGCCGGAGCGAUCCCCUCGACCUCCACUGAACCAAAAAGGGGGUGUCCAACAUCCCCAGUGCCGGAGUUUCGUGCUCCGACAUCUGGCGCGCCAGGUAGGGGGGGCGUGCAGAGAACUCCGCGUGACCGCCGGCAUCAUCAUCUUCGUCAUCGUCUUCAUCAGCUCACCAUGCCGCCCAAGAAGGCAGACAAGCCUAGGUCGACUUGCGUGAUACACUCGCUAUGCGCACUCGGUCCCACGACGCCGCCAGGGCGUCUCGAGAUCACCGGGACUAAGGGUCUCCCCAGCAGCAGCCGCUGCUGCCCCCGCGAGGCCCUCGUGCGUAGACAAACAACCGCCUGAGGGGGCCUGCGGCGCCUAGCGACGGAGAUAGCCGCCCAGGCGACGCGCACGUGCCAGCCAGCGAGGUCGCUCGCAGGCUGAAGAUGAGCGACAACAGUCGCGUCACGAACAAAGCGUGUCUACCUCAAAUGGACACGUUCCGGAUCAGAGUUUAGCACCGACUCUAGAUUUCCCAAAUUGUUCGUCCUAGUGAGGGACCAUGCCUAGCGAGUCCGUAUAAGUGGUCUAGACUUGUUUCGCUUCUAUGAGUAGCUUUCUUUGGCCUGCUCAUCUUAUAACGCCAAACAGACCGAUUUGGCCGAAUUGUCCGUCCUAGUGAGGGACCAUGCCUAGCGAGUCUGUAACAGUGGUCUAGUCUUGUUUCGCUUCGAUGAGUAGCUUCGUUUGGUGUGCUCAUCCUAGUACCUGAAAUGGCACGUUCCGGAUCAAAGUUUAGCACCGACUCCGAUUUGGCCAGAUUGUCCGUCCUUGUGAGGGACCAUGCCUAGCGAGUCCCUACAAGUGCUCUAGUCUUGUUUUGAUUCGAUGAGUAGCUUUCUUUGGUGUGCUCAUCUUAUAACACCAAACGGACCCGUUCCGGAUCAAAGUUUAGCACCGACUACGAUUUGGCCGAAUUGUCCGUCCUAGUGAGGGACCAUGCCUAGCGAGGCCGUGAAGUGGUCUAGUCUUGUUUCGCUUCGAUGAAUAGCUUUGUUUGGUGUGCUCAUCCUUGUACCUCAAAUGGACACGUUCCGGAUCACAGAUUAGCACCGACUCUAAUUUGCCCGAAUUGUCCGUACUAGUGAGGGACCUUGCCUAGCGAGUCCGUAUAAGUGGUCUAGUCUUGUUUCGGUUCUAUGAGUAGCGUUUUUUGGUGUGCUCAUCCUAGUACCUCAAAUGGACACAUUGCGGACCAAAGUGUUUGCACUGACUCUAAUUUGGCCGAAUUGUCCGUCUUAGUGAGGGACCAUGCCUAGCGAGGCCGUGAAGUGGUCUAGUCUUGUUUCGCUUCGAUGAGUAGCUUUGUUUGGUGUGCUCAUCCUUGUACCGCAAAUGGACACGUUCCGGAUCACAGUUUAGCACCGACUCUAAUUUGCCUGAAUUGUCCGUACUAGUGAGGGACCUUGCCUAGCGAGUCCGUAUAAGUGGUCUAGUCUUGUUUCGGUUCUAUGAGUAGCGUUUUUUGGUGUGCUCAUCCUAAUACCUCAAAUGGACACAUUGCGGACCAAAGUGUUUGCACCGACUCUAAUUUGGCCGAAUUGUCCGUCCUAGUGAGGGACCAUGCCUAGCGAGGCCGUACAAGUGGUCUAGUCUUGUUUCAGUUCGAUGAGUAGCUUUGUUUGGUAUGCUCAUCCUAGUACCUCAAAUGGACACGUUCUUGAUCAGAGUUUAGCACCGACUCUGAUUUGCCCGAAUUGUCCGUACUAGUGAGGGCCUUGCCUAGCGAGUCCGUAUAAGUGGUUGAUAGCCUCGAGGGUGUCCCGAUCUUUCGAUGAGAUACCUAAUUAACGGUUUGGUAGGAGGUGACGUUGACGAUCCGACUACAACUUAGGAGGCAGUGCCUUAGCGAUCGAUAGACCAACUCCAGAAGGUUAUUGAUCCCGCGGGGGCACGAUCAACCUGACCAUGAAGGUCUUUGUUCCUGCAAGCAAUCGAAGAACAAGCAAGAACAAGAUGAAAAGCAAUCUGAAAUUGCGAAUACGAGAUAUGAAGGUUCACGAAUCUGAAUAUUCAAUAUAGUUGGAGUCUUGAUGACGGUAAAACAGGUGGUCUAACCGACACACGCGAUUACACGAAAGUAGCAAAGGCUAAACUUUAUCUAAUCAAAACCCAAGGCUCCAUAGGAGGGCUCAUGGGGUAUAAACAGGAGGGGAACUAGGUGGUUUUCAGACAGGCCCUUGAGGGACUUCGAAACGGCCUAGGAAUCCUCGUAAAACACAACGAAAACAUCUAAAAAUUGGCUGGACCCUAUUACAUGGCCUUAGGCCCAAUAAAGCAAGGUUAUAACCCUCAUCUUUGGCCCAUAGAUACCCAUUGGAGGGGGAAUCCUCUACUUGGCCGAAAUCCCAUUGAUAAAGAGGAUGCGGCCUUCUUCUCAUAUCUCGUUAUGGCGGUUUCAAUGUUCUGAAAUCAUCACUUGAGCUAGCUCCCGCCACCUUGCUACCACCUCCGUGGUUUGCUGUCCAACGCUGAUCCUUGAGGUGCAAGCUAGGUCCUUCAUUCCUAAAACACAUAAAAGAACCCAUCUUAGGCAGUAGCAUAUUCUCAUUAAUAUUAAAUGAAGUACCGAGGAACGAAAGUACCUGAUAAUUUAGUUGUCGUGCACGAGCUCUAGUAAUUGGUCCAUGUAUCUCUGGUACUUGAGGUGUAGGUGCUGUAGGGGCUGUGGUUGUAUCAUUAGUUGGGAUGUCCUCAUCAUCCUCCCCUUCUUGAAUCGAAGUCGUCCUCGACGGUAGUUCAUCUUCUUCUCCCAAAUAAGGCUUCAAAUCUGCAAUAUUAAACGUGGGACUAACCCCAAAAUCUGCAGGUAGCUCAAGUUUAUAUGCAUCAUCAUUAAUUUUUGCUAACACCUUAAAGGGACCACCAGCUCGUGGCAUUAACUUAGACUUGCGCAAAUCAGGGAAGCGAUCUUUGCGCAAAUGCAACCAAACAAGAUCUCCAGGUUCAAACAGAAUUUGUUUUCUGCCCCUAUCUCCCGCAAGUUUAUACUUAGAAUUCAUGCACUCAAUGUUCUCUUUAGUCAUCUCAUGCAUUUUUAUUAUAAGUUCAGCACGUUCCUUAGCAUCAAAGUUAACUUUUUCAGAAGUUGGCAAAGGUAACAAAUCAAUUGGUGCACGAGGUAUAAAACCAUAAACAAUUUCAAAAGGGCACAAUUUUGUGGUUGAAUGCAGUGAACGAUUAUAAGCAAAUUCAAUAUGAGGUAAACAUUUUUCCCACAUUUUCAAGUUCUUCUUUAAAACAGCCCUAAGCAUAGUAGAUAAUGUUCUAUUAACAACUUCAGUUUGUCCAUCUGUUUGGGGAUGACAUGUAGUACUAAAAAGCAAUUUAGUCCCCAACUUAGCCCAUAAACAUCUCCAAAAGUGGCUAAGAAAUUUUGUGUCACGGUCUGAAACUAUAGUAUUGGGCACACCAUGCAAGCGAACAAUUUCACGAAAGAAUAAAUCAGCAACAUUUGUAGCAUCAUCGCUCUUAUGACAAGGUAUAAAAUGUGCCAUCUUAGAAAAUCUAUCAACAACAACAAAUAUGCUAUCCCUCCCCUUCUUAGUUCGAGGCAAUCCCAAAACAAAAUCCAUUGAUAUAUCUUCCCAAGGAACAUUAGGAACAGGGAGAGGCAUAUAUAAACCAUGAGUAUUGAGUCGUGACUUAACUUUUUGACAUGUAGUGCAGCGAGCGAUAAAUCUCUCAACAUCCCGUCUCAUCCGAGGCCAAAAGAAAUGAUCAGCGAGCACAUCUUCGGUCUUCUUCACGCCAAAGUGACCCAUCAACCCUCCUCCAUGUGCCUCCUGUAACAACAAAAGACGAACGAAGCUAUCUGGGAUGCAUAGCUUGUUAGCACGGAACACAAAUCCAUCAUUAAUGACGAACUUGUUCCAUGUUCUGCCCUCUUUACAAUGCUGCAAAACAUCCUUAAAAUCUGCAUCAUGCUCAUAUUGUUCUUUUAUAGUCUCCAAUCCAAAUAUCCAAAAAUCAAGCUGAGAUAACAAGGUAUAACGACGUGAUAACGCAUCAGCAAUAACAUUAUCUUUACCCUUCUUAUGUUUAAUAACAUACGGAAAAGACUCAAUAAAUUCAACCCAUUUAGCAUGACGACGGUUCAGCUUUGCUUGACUACGAAUAUGCUUCAAAGAUUCAUGAUCAGAAUGUAUAACAAAUUCUUUGGGCCAUAAAUAAUGUUGCCAUGUUUCUAAAGUCCGAACGAGAGCAUAUAAUUCCUUAUCAUAAGUAGAAUAAUUCAGACUAGGCCCACUCAAUUUUUCACUAAAGUAUGCAACAGGUUUUCCGUCUUGUAACAACACACCUCCUAAACCGAUUCCACUAGCAUCACACUCCAACUCAAAAGUCUUAUUAAAAUCAGGAAGUUGGAGUAAAGGAGCAUGUGUCAACUUAUCUUUCAAUAUGAGAAAAGCUUCUUCUUGUGCAACGCCCCAUACAUAUGGAACGUCCUUCUUUGUGAGCUCAUUAAGCGGUGCAGCAAGGGUGCUGAAAUCCUUUACAGAGCGGCGAUAAAACCCAGCGAGUCCAAGAAAGCUCCUCACUUGGGUGACCAUUGUUGGAGUUGGCCAGCUUUGAAUAGCGUCGAUCUUGGCCUUAUCAACUUCUAUGCCCUGUGGAGUGACAACAUAGCCAAGAAACGAAACUCGAUCGGUGCAAAAGGUGCACUUCUCAAGGUUACCAAACAAACGUGCAUCUCUCAAAGCAUCAAAAACAGCACGUAAAUGAUUCAAGUGGUCUUCUAAAGAGCUGCUGUAAAUCAAUAUAUCAUCAAAAUAAACCACCACAAGUCAUCCUAUGAAAGCACGUAAAACUUUGUUCAUUAACCGCAUGAAAGUGCUAGGUGCGUUAGUAAGACCGAAAGGCAUGACUAACCACUCAUAUAGUCCAAACUUAGUUUUAAAUGCUGUUUUCCAUUCAUCGCCUAAUUUCAUUCGAAUUUGGUGGUAACCACUACGUAAAUCAACUUUAGAGAACACGGUAGAGCCACUUAAUUCAUCUAACAUAUCAUCAAGUCUAGGAAUUGGGUGACGAUAGUGAAUAGUAAUGUUAUUAAUAGCUCUACAAUCUACACACAUACGCCAAGAACCAUCUUUCUUUGGUACCGAUCUUUCGAUGAGAUACCUAAUUAUCGAUUUGGUAGGAGGUGACGUUGACGAUCCGACUACAACCUAGGAGGCAGCGCCUUAGCGAUCGAUACACCAACUCCAGAAGGUUAUUGAUCCCGCGGGGGCACGAUCAACCUAACCACGAAGGUCUUUAUUCCUGCAAGCAAUCGAAGAACAAGAUGAAAAGCAAUCUGAAAUUGCGAAUAGGAGAUAUGAAGGUUCACGAAUCUGAAUACUCAAUAUAGUUGGAGUCUUGAUGACGGUAAAACAGGUGGUGUAACCGACACACGCGAUUACACGAAAGUAGCAAAGGCUAAACUUCAUCUAAUCAAAACCCAAGGCUCCAUGGGGGGGCUCAUGGGGUAUAAAUAGGAGGGGAACUUGGUGGUUUUCGGAUAGGCCCUUGAGGGACUCCGAAUCGGCCUAGGAAUCCUCCUAAAACACAACGAAAACAUCUAAAAAUUGGCUGGACCCUAUUACAUGGCCUUAGGCCCAAUAAAGCAAG